rnacentral:lncRNA from 1 species
CUUGAUCUCUAAACAAAAUUCGAUCUAUUAUGAAACACUUUCCAAAAGCACUCUUGAUUGGACUCGGACUCGAACUCGCAGCUGAAAACUAUAACUUCCCGACUCGAUGUAGGACUCGAAGAGGGACUCGGUGUAGGACUGGAAGAAGGACUCGGUGUAGGACUCAAAGAGGGACUCGGUGUAGGACUCGAUGAGGUAACCAAAAGCAAGUUCGAUCUAGUAGAAAAAAUCUGAAAAACGAUCCAAUCUAAUCCAGCAACUCGACACGAUUAAUGCAGCAAAGAUUCAACAAUGCAAAUACUAAUGUGAAAAUUGCAAGGCUCAGAUUGGUUCUAGGACAAGGUAACUAAUUCUAAUUUUUGUUUGGCUUUUUCUGGACGAUAGGUAAAAACAGAUCUAAACUACGGAUAAACUGGAAAAAACUCACCGAGCAACCUUAAGCUCUGAUAGCACGUGAUAGCCUCGAGGGUGUCCCGAUCUUUCGAUGAGAUACCUAAUUAUCGAUUUGGUAGGAGGUGACGUUGACGAUCCGACUACAACCUAGGAGGCAGCGCCUUAGCGAUCGAUACACCAACUCCAGAAGGUUAUUGAUCCCACGGGGGCACGAUCAACCUGACCACGAAGGUCUUUGUUCCUGCAAGCAAUCGAAGAACAAGCAAGAACAAGAUGAAAAGCAAUCUGAAAUUGCGAAUAGGAGAUAUGAAGGUUCACGAAUCUGAAUACUCAAUAUAGUUGGAGUCUUGAUGACGGUAAAACAGGUGGUCUAACCGACACACGCGAUUACACGAAAGUAGCAAAGGCUAAACUUUAUCUAAUCAAAACCCAAGGCUCCAUGGGGGGGCUCAUGGGGUAUAAAUAGGAGGGGAACUAGGUGGUUUUCGGACAGGCCCUUGAGGGACUCCGAAACGGCCUAGGAAUCCUCGUAAAACACAACGAAAACAUCUAAAAGUUGGCUGGACCCUAUUAUAUGGCCUUAGGCCCAAUAAAGCAAGGUUAUAACCCUCAUCUUUGGCCCAUAGAUACCCAUUGGAGGGAGAAUCCUCCACUUGGCCGAAAUCCCAUUGAUGAAGAGGAUGCGGCCUUCUUCUCAUCUCUCGUUAUGGCGGUUUCAAUGUUCUGAAAUCAUCACUUGAGCUAGCUCCCGCCACCUUGCUGCCACCUCCAUGGUUUGCUGUCCAACGCUGAUCCUUGAGGUGCAAGCUAGGUCCUUCAUUCCUAAAACACAUAAAAGAACCCAUCUUAGGCAGCAGCAUAUUCUCAUUAAUAUUAAAUGAAGUACCGAGGAACGAAAGUACCUGAUAAUUUAGUUGUCGUGCACGAGCUCUAGUAAAGUGUCCGUGUAUCUUCGGUACUUGAGGUGUAUGUGCUGUAGGGGCUGUGGUUGUAUCAUUAGUUGGGAUGUCCUCAUCAUCGGCGUGGCGGGCGGGGAGUCGCUCCUCCCCCUUUUGCUGGCACCCGCCGGCGAGUUGGACUUCGGGGGUUACGCCGGAGCGCGAAGCCUCGGAAGACCCCCUGAGCGGGCGGAGCCGUAGGCGCCCGCGGGGUCGCCGUGACCCGGAGUGUCGCGGGUGUCGACGGUGAUGCCGCCGCGGUAAAAGGAGCCAGUCCAGGGGAGGCUGCCCGAAAACUGUCGUCGAGGCUUCGGCGACCCCCGCGGUCGCGGGCGCUGCCAGCGUACCAACGGGCGCCCCGGGAGCGGCUACCACCACGGUGCGGGCGGCCGCCACCGCCGCCGAAGGUCCGGCGACCCCUGCGGCCCCGGACGCUGCCAAGGUACCGACGGGCGCCGCCGAAGCUGUCGUCGUCGAGGAGACAGCCGCAGCCGCUGCGAACGCCCUUGAUCUCCACACGAUCAGGGGCGCGCUGUCGCUGUCCUCGUCAUCGUCGUCCACGGGGACGACUUCCGGGGACGCUGCCGCCUGGCCUGCCUCGUCAUCCAGUGACUGGAGGGAGGGCCAGCGGGGCUCGGAUCCGCCCCCGCUCUCCUCGAGCACCUGCUUCCCGCGGAGUGCUGGCAGGGGAGCGCGCGGGGCCCGAGUGGGGGUGUCGUCCAUCAACCCCCACUCGUUGCAGGGCGGGAAGGCGCCGACGAUGUCGCUGAGCGCCGCAACGCCAGCAUGAAGGGAGGAGACCCCCAACGGGAACUAUGUUGAUUGGAAGGUCUCGCCGAAGAUCCCCCUAACUCACGUCCUGAGGGUCUCCAAGUCCAUGCCGUCCUGCUGGAGGCGUGUUCUGUCCCCGGGACCCGUGUACAUCCACGCGGGCCGGGAGCGCAGUUGUAGCGGUGCGAUACGAUGGUGGACGAAGGUGCGCGCCACGUCCACGUCGGUGAGCCCCACUAGCCGCAGCGCCUUGAUCUUCUCCACGAUGGGGAGGUGGUCGGCGUCGCGGUGGUACCUGUCUUGCCAGCCGCUGUGGGGCUGCGGCACCUCCGUGGGCGCGAGGAUGAACUCUUGGGGGUCGUCCACCCGGACCCAGCACCAAUGCCCCUGCCACUCCUUUUCAAUCUUCUUCCCUGACCGGACUAUGAACUCGGACUUCAUCUGGUCGCGGGCACGGAACACCACUCCUGACGACAUCGCGUUCGCGUUGUCAAUGCGGGGGUAGAAGUAGUGGCAGAAGAGCCCCACCGACGGCAUCACCGCAGAGGAAUUGGAAGGUGGCGAGGAGGAACAGCGACGUGGGGUGGAGCUGCGCCACCCGCAGCCGAAACUUUCCGGACUUAUAUCAACUUAUAGAUCGGAUCGGAAUCUCUUCGUAUGGGAAGCAAACUCUAAAAAGGAAAACAAAAUAAACCUGGUUUGAUACGGUAUGUGAAAUCGACAACGAUACGGAUAUGGAUAUGGUGGCGGAAUUGGUGGUGGCGGAAGAUGGUAAGUGAAACCGAAAUUGAUACGGUUAUGGAUACGUGGUGGCAUGGAAGAUCGGCGAGCGAGGCGAAGCGGUGUGACGGCGGCGUGAUGGCUAUGAACAGAACUCGAAACUCUAAAGGUCUAGACUCUAAAACCAGCACUCGACACGACGAUGCAGACUAAAAUGCAACAAUGCACGUACUGAAAGAAAAGAUGCAAAGGCUCGAAAUUGUUUGUAGGACAAGAUCUAACCCUAAUAUCUUUUUUGGCUUUUUCGUGGACUGUAGGAAUAAAUCAGAUGCAACUAAGCUAGGAAAACAGUAAGAUCUCACCGAGAAACCUGAAAUCUGAUACCACUUGAUAGGGGAAAAGAUGCCCGAUCUUUCGAUGAGAAGAUAGCUAUCGAUUUUUGGGUGGAUGUCGACGUUGAUGAACCGGCUACAAACGUGCGAGACGUUGCGCCUUAGCGAUCGCUACACCAACUUCCGAGGUUAUUGACCACGCCAGAGCUAGAUCAACCUGAUCACAAAGGAUCAAUCCCUGCAUGCAACCGAAGAACAAGCAAGAAUUAUAGUUGCAAUCGAGAUAUUGCGAAUAAAGGUGAAGCUUUAGUGAUGGGAUUCUGCAAGCGCGUAGUACAAAAGGUCGAUUUGACACUUGUGCCUAUGGCGAAGAGUAGCAAAAGGCUAAGUCUUAAACUAAACAAAAUCCGAGUCUAAACGAAGACCUAACGGGGGUAUAUAUGGAGGACUAGAGGGGUAUGCGGCCAGCCUUGGGAAAGAAGGCCGAAACCCACUCUAGGUUGGUUUCCUUCACCUAUACGGACUCUAAAAGUCCAGCCCAUGUAUGUGGACGAAAAUUACAUGGGCCUAUCCCAAACUUAAAAGGUGACGCAGCACCAUAUAAUUAUGUGGACGAAAAUAUGAAGGGAAAAGCUCUAUAUUUCGCCCACGUCUUCAUCUCUCAUUAUGGUGGCUUCAACGUUCUGAAAUCUCCCGUUGCAGCGCCAUCUUCAAUCCUCACACGCUUGCUGCCUUCAUCUCCAUGCGUGAUCAUGCUCCAAUGCUUGUCCCUCUCAUCCAUGCUAGGUCCAUCAUUCCUAUGUGUGACAAACACAUCUGAUUUAGGCAGCAUCAUAUUCUCAUGUAUGUGAAGAAUCGUUCCAAGAAACGAAAGUACCUGAUAAUUAAGUUGGCGUGCGCGAGCUCUUGUGAUAGGUCCUUGUAAUGUAACUGUAGGGGCUGCGGGUGUAUCAACAUGUGGGAUGUCCUCAUCAGCAUACUUUUGGUAUGUCGGCCGGUUGUUAAGUCGGCUUAAGGAUGCCGGUGCACUUGCUUACGCCGGCUUUGCUCUUGCUAUCCUGGCUAAUAUGUGUCAUCAUGACCCUACCCGGGGUCAUCCCCCUGACACUAGUCCCCAAAGCUGUUGCGGUCCGACAGGAGUCGAUCGCGUUCUGCUUUCGUCUUCUCGAGCUCAUCAAUAAGAUUUGUCAUGGAGAGGAUGAUUGGCUGAACAAUCACAGUCUCAAGUCAUUUCUUGAGCAUCACUCCCACCUGGAGGCAAAAAGCAACAACAAAAGGCAAACUAUUUACUUACAUGCUGACUCGAAGACGGAAUCGUCGCCUGAGGAGGAGUUGGUUCAUCUGGUCGAUUCCCUCUGCUCACUUCUGGGGGAUUAGACGCUGAGGCUUCUUCGGGUUGAGCCGCCUUGUCCUUGGUUGGUUGGUCCGACCCUUUCAAGUCCGGACCAGUUGACUCAGCCUCGGGAGCCUUUUUGCUCUCGUCUAAGCCACCAGUAUGGCUGAACAUGAGUUUUCGGAGGUUCAAUAAAAUCUCUAGAACAAUGAAACAAAAUCGGCGAGUUGCUUACCUGCCGCAGUCAAACCGAGCAAGAAGGCCAUAAUGACGUGCUGCAACAGGCCCACCGGAUUUGGUUCUUUUGAACGCAGGUACGGUCACUGACGACUCGAUAUUCAGGUCCCUCGUGCCCAUUGGUCGGGUCUAUACCAGCAGGCUAUUGUCUUCUCUGCCGCGCUUCUUUGCUGGUGUGGAAACAUUGCUCGGCUCAUUGUCGGGUCCCUGGAGUCAAAAGCAUAAUCAGAAAAACAGUUCAGGUCAAGGCUGAAAGAUUUGUUAAAAGUCUCGGUGACUACCUUUUCCCAGGGUCUAUCAGGCCCAUAGGGAGCCAUUGGAGGGAAAAUUUCACAUGGCUCUGACUUAUCCAAGUCAGUGAGCCGUCGAACCCGUCGACACACCUCAGUCGAAGGAAAUUCUACUAUGCUAAUCCAGGUUGGGUCACGAAUCCCUUGAUAUCUCACAUGGGAUGAGCACGAGCUUGCAGAGGUUGGAUUCUCCUCCAGAUAAAAGCAACAAUGAGGUGGAUUCCCGUCACCUUCAGCUGAGGAGUCUCCAUGAGAGAGAAGACCUGGGCCAUCAGAGUUUCGGCUUCUUCGCUCUCUGACCCUCUUAACUUAUGACUCCAGGCCGCCGUCUUCUUCAGAGAAGACGUCACGGAGAAUUCAGGAAGACUGAAUCCGCGCCCCUGGGCUGGCGCGUCCAUGACGUAAAACCACUUUGAUUUUCAUCGAGGAAGUGAUUCCCUCGCUCGGAGGUCGAAGAAUUUGGCAUCUGCAUGAACUUGAAUGUCCACACAGCCAAUUGCAUCUUUUUCGUGACGCUUGAUUGUGAACAUUUUCUUCCAAAGACCCAGGUGUGGGCUUAUCCCAAGGAAGCAUUCACACAGCGUCAUGAAAAACACGCAAUGUGGAGAUAGGAGUUUGGAGAAAGAUCGCGAAGUUGGAGCCCGUAUGCGAAAAGAAAGCAGGUGAUAAAAUCAUAAUGCACUACCCGCUCUCCUUGCAUGGGAUGAGGAAUUACAUCCUCACUGGGAAAUUGCACAUGUCCGGGUCACGGGGAUAGAAACCCUUCUUCUUGCAUGCCAGCUACACUGUCGCGAUCCACGGCAGACAAUGGCCAAGCCUCCGCAGUCUUCCUACUCUUCCCCAUUUUACUGGGUCGAAAGAUUUCUUAUCCUUAGCAGGUAACAUGUCGCACCAGUGGCACCCGGGGCGCCACCGCUGCGCGACGCGUGGGCCACCUCGCUUGGUCCCCGGAAGGAUCGCGCCCCGGGCAGCUCCGCGCGAGAUGCCUGCCAAGUCGCCAGCCCGGCAGGGCUAGCCGGGUUGCGGAGGUUUGCCUUGCGCGGCAGCAGGAGGGAUCCCGCCUGGACACUUCCCGGGAAGUUCACUUGUCGGGAGAGUGUUCCCGGGCGCAAGUAACCGUUGCGAAGGCAAGAGCGAGCGGGAGCAACAGCGGGCACGCCGCUCACAUGUUUCGUCAGGACGAGGAGUGAAGCACACGCCAGCAUUUAAUGCUCCGACCAAAAGGGGAUUCCCUCUCCUUUCAGCCAGCAGUGACCUGCCUGGAGUAAAUUUCAGGCGCCUAGACCCCUAGCUGCAGGGCUACCUAGUUUGCAUGCAAGCCAACGCACCGAGGGGGAGCUGCCCUAGCUCUCUGCUCGCCAUUUGUCACCCAUGCACCGUGGCACCUGUGGCAUCCCCUUCAGCAUAAAAGGAGGACGCCCGCCAACGGUCAAAGGGUUGGACCAGUUCUAAGUUCACUACUAGCAAUAGCCCAAAGUAGCAAACCGUACUUAACCGAGAAAAGAGAGCGCCCGGGGACUCCCCACGGCAACCUGUAAACCCCAGUUCUUUGGCUAAUAACAGAACUCAGAAGCAGGACGUAGGGUUUUACACCUCAGGGUGGCCCGAACCUGGGUAAAAAGUGUUCUCGUGUUCGUCGUGCUCGCACGCUUCGCAUUGGCCCCGCCGGCGAUCGCCGGAGCGAUCCCCGCAGCCCACUGCCAAACCUAAAAGGGGGUGCCCACGCAUCCCCGGUGUCAAAGCCCCGUGCUACGACAGAACGCGAAGAGUUAUCGACUAUGGAAGCUAAAACCUUGGGCGUCUGAGCUCUGUUCGCGGGGAGGAAGAAGGGUUAAACUAAUUUACCCCACCUCCAUCUUUAUGCUUACUUUGGCAAACAAUCCGGGCCGCACGAUCUCGUUCGUGGCCAGGUGUUCUGCAUCAGCCGGAAUAUGAAACGGCAAGGAUGGAUAUAACCGCUUACAUCGUGGGCGCAGGAAUCAAUGAGAUCAUCAUUGUGUCUUGUUUACUGCACGAAGUGUGAUCAUUUCUCCACUGACGCACGUCAACAGCGUGCCUAGCUGUCAGGCUAGACUAUGCACCCAGUCACAUCGGCUAACCAAACGGCUCUUCACCUUCAACAGGUACGUCAUCCAUGACGAAGUCUGACUCGAAUAUCAUGACUUGAAACUAUCUUUCAUACAGAAUGAUGGAGUUUACCAUAGAAAUGUUGAGACUCGUCUUGAGUCUCGCCUGUGAAUACAAGGACUCUCAUUCGAGUCGCUAUCUAACCGACUGUUGGUUUAUAUUGGUUAAAGACUUCAUACAGUCAGCUAUUGUUUAUUUUUUACUUACACAAGUAAAAUCGGGUCAACAACCUUGACAUAAAAACAGUCGAUUUCAUAUGCUCAUUGCAUGAAGUUAAGACCCGAAAGUUCUCUAUCGGGCCUAGAACCGUACCAGCUACGUUGAUCCAGUCGAAUCCAUACUCAUUGUAUGAAGAUAAGCAUUAAAAAUUAGGCCUGGAUAUGCAUCGACUGCAUCUCUCCGGUAAUAAUUCUCACUUAAGGGUUGUUCCCUACAACCAUGUUCAUUACAUGAAGAUAAGACCCGUAGGCUUCCUAUAGGGCUUGGAAACGAACCAGCUGUGUAUUUCCAGCAUAUGCCAUCUUGACGAACGAGUCGAGUACUUAAAAACUGGAGUUCGACUCUAUAAGACCCUUGCAGGCUAAGUCGAAUUUCGCCAGUUGCCAGGUUGGAGCCCGGGUAAAUACUGAAGAAGGCUAGUGUUGUAUUUGCCCUGGAGCGAUUAACUGGGCUCGAACUUCUCGAUUAUCUAGGCACAUUAAGCAUAUAUCCCUAUGACCCCUUCUCAUUGCAUUUGAUUUGACCUGCUAUCAAAAUCAUAUUGUGAAACUGUUACUUAACAGUUGAACACUAAAGCAUUGGCUCGGACAUUCUUUGAGUCGAAUUGCUUCUCAUUCGAAGUCCAACUCGAUGAAAUAUCAGGUCUGUAGCACUAUACAACUGGCUCAACAGCAAAAUGAGUUCAUUCUUUACGGGGAAAGUCCCUACUCAAGUCUUUGACUCAAAUAGGCACUUGGGGGCUACUGACGUGGUUAUGACUAACCACGUACUCGACUCGAGUAUACCCGUUACGGCCCAGCUGGGGGCCCACAAGGAAGCCUACUAUGACUCCAGGAGUCUACGUGCCAAUCUACGUGCCAAAUCUUGCGAACCAAGAUAAGGAAGAUUAAUUAGAGUAUAUCUCUUCACUGUAACCGACUUGGACACUACCUUAGACCUAGGUUCCUUCAUAUAUAAAGGACUAGGAGGGGGAGCCAAGAGGACACCCCAGCUUAGAUAGAAGUUGCCUAGACGCACUCGUCAGAUCGAAUCUGUGCAUCUAGCCUCCGCGGCACCCCAUUGUAAUCGACUCAUCAAUACAGAUUAGACAAACAGGACGUAGGGGUAUUACCUCAUCGAGGGCCCUGAACCUGGGUAAACCGUGUUCCCUGUGUCCUUGUUUGCCAACGAGUUUGCCAACACAUACACUCGAAAUCUUUCCUAGAUACAAGUCCAUCAACAUGGGCAUUGUUGAAGUCACCCCUUCGUCACCUGGGAACCAUAGCUGAGCUGCACACGGUGGUGCAGAAGCCGGGGGAGACGUUGCGGGACUUCACCAACAGGUUCUCCAACAUCUCCUACUCCAUCCCAGAGGCGGAAGCGGCCGCCAUCAUCAACACAUAUGCCAUAAAUGUCCGCGGUCCGAAGAUGCGUGAGAAGUUGAACACGCACCAGAUCAAGACCACCAGGGAUUUGUACGCCCUCGCGCACAAGUGCGCGAUUGCCGAGGAAGGGCGCUUGGCGCCUGAGCUUGCCUCGAAGGCGGCGGCAAACCCACCCGAGGGCUUCGGGAAGAAGGGCUACCAGAAGUGCGGCGGGAAGCAAGUAAUCGCCACGGAAUCGGGGGCUCCCCAGAGGCCCACGAAGAAGGCUGCAUCGACAGGCGCAUCGGGUAGCAAGCCGGCAACGGCCGCUCACUGCUCCAUCCACGCCAAUGCCACCCACGACGGGCAGGACUGCCGCACUCUCCAAACCAUCAAGGAGAAGUGCGAGCAGAGCCACGAGGAGCGCCGUGCCACUGGAGGCUGCUGCAACUGCGGGGCUAUCGGGCACGUCUCCCGUGACUGCCCGAACAACCGCCGCAACGGAGCAGGCCAUUGCGGGGCCAACAACGGCGACAGGGGAGAACCCGCGAGGGGCCGCGGUCAAGGCCGUGGCGGCAAAGACCUGCCUCCUCGGGGACGCAACAAGCCUCGUGCUGACCAGCGCGAGGACGACUGCAGCGACGACGUCGACGAGCCUUGCUUCCAGGAGCCUCGCGACGUUGCCUGCAUCCGCAAGGGAGCAUACGCUCUCACGUCUCACACUGCCAUGAAGCGGCUCACCCGUGAGGUGUGCGCCCUCCACCCCAGCCAUUGAGGUGGUCGCAUGUGCCGAGCACCUUCAACUCAGAUAAUCACCCCAUCCGUCCCUUGGGGUCAGGGGUUUUACCCCUCGUGGUGUCGCCGAUCAUCAACAACGUGACAAUGACCAAGCUUCUGGUGGACAACGGAGCGAGUCUCAACCUCCUGUCCGCCAAGUUGGUGGAGAAACUUCAACUUCCCCUAGAGCAGAUGAAGCCCACCGACCCGUUCCGGGGGAUUAACCCCAGAGUGGUGCAGCCCAUGGGGCGAAUCACGCUCCCGGUAACCUUCGGGUCCCGGGAAGCGUUCCGGACUGAGCACAUCAUCUUUGACGUGGCUCACACCCCAUUGCCGUACAACGGGAUCAUUUGUUGGCCUACGCUGAUCAAGUUCAUAGCGGCGACUCAUUGCGCCUACGGCAUGAUGAAGAUGCCGUCAUGCCGUCAAUGUAUGGGGUACUCUCCAUCAACUGCGACUUGAAGGACGCUGCUUGGUGCGUGGGCGGGGUCGUGAAGACCUCCGCAGUGGCGGAUCCCGGCGACUUCGACGUUGCCUGGAACGAGGAUCCACUUGCGGGCAAACAGCCCGCACAGAAGAAGGCGCGAGCCUCCCCCGGGUAGGACGUCGGGGGCAGUACCAGCUCCAAGUCGCGCGUUAGCAAGGGCAUGAGGCUGAAGGAGGAGGGCGCCAAGGUCAAGAAGGUGCCCCUACAAGCCGGCAACGAGGCACGCACCGUCUCCAUCCAUGCGGGCCUCGACCACAAAUAGGAAAGCGCCCUCAUCGCCUUCCUCCGGGGAAGCUGUGACGUGUUCGCUUGGGAGCCGUCAGAUCUUCCCGGAGUCCCCAGGGAGGUGACUGAGCAUCGGUUGGCAGUUCGGCCGGAUGCCCGACCCGUCAAGCAGAAGGUUUGUCGGCAAGCAUAUGAACGCAAGGACUUCAUCCAGCAAGAGGUGGAGAAGCUCAAGAAUUCCGGGGAGAUCAGGGAAGUGUUGUACCCCACUUGGUUAGCAAAUCUUGUUGUAGUCCCUAAGGCAGGAAAUAAAUUGCGCAUGUGUGUAGAUUUUACUGAUCUUAAUCGCGCAUGCCCUAAGGACCCUUUCCCUAUACCCCGUAUUGAUCAAAUAGUAGGUUCCACAGCGGGUUGUGAGUUGUUGUGCCUUUUAGAUGCUUUCUCCGGCUACCUUUAGAUCAAGAUGGUAGUCGAAGACGAGGAAAAAACAGCGGAUUCGUCACCCCGGUGGGCUGUUACUGUUAUACGUGCAUGUCUUUCGGGUUGAAGAACGCAGGCUCGACAUUGCAGCAUGCAUUACGUGAAUGUCUAGGACCCCAGCUAGGCCUAAACAUUGAGGCCUACAUGGGCGAUAUCGUCGUCAAGUCGAGGCGUGGGGACUCGCUCAUCGGCAACCUGGAGGAGACGUUUGACAACCUCCGCAGGAUCAAGUCAAGCUCAACCCCGAGAAGUGCACGUUCGGUGUGGACUCGGGGCACGCUUCUUGGUAUCUCACCGGGGAAUUGAGGCCAAUCCGCAGAAGAUCGAAGUGAUUGACAAGAUGGAGGCAGUCCGCAAGGUUAGAGAUGUCCAGCGCCUCAACGGCUACGUUGUGGCGCUCGGGCAUUUCAUUUCAAUGCGGGGCGAACGAGCCCUGCCUUUCUUCAAGGUGAUGAAGAAGAAGGGCCCAAUCAACUGGACCCCCGAGGCAGAAGCGGCGUUCCAGGACUUGAAGUUGUACCUGAAGUCGCCGCCGAUCCUCGUCGCCCCCAAGCUGGGCGAGCCGUUGCUGCUCCAUUUGGCUGCAACGGACCAGGUGGUGAGCUCCGUGCUCAUUGCCGAAAGGGAAGAAGAAGUCCCGGGGCCUGAAGUAGUGGCGCAGGGGGCUGCCAGAGAUUCUAGGCAACCCUCGGUAACCACUACAACCCCGAGAACCGAGGGGCAGCUAGCUCAAGUUGUCCCCCGCAAGCGGCUAGUGCAGCACCUCGUUUACCUCGUUAGCACGGUGUUGCACGAUGCCCGGGUAUGAUACCCGCAGGUCCAGAAGCUUUUUCUUGGGAUCCUACUAACUUCACGAAAGCUGCGCCACUACUUCCAGGCGCACAGCAUCAUGGUGGUGUCUGGGUUCUGCCUAUAGCGGGCCCUCACUAACCGUGAAGCCACCGGAAGGGUGGCCGAGUGGAGAAUGGAGCUGGCGGAGAUUGGACUGCGUUUCACGAACACCAAGAGCAUCAAGAGUGCCGCUCUUGCCGACUUCAUCACGGAGUGGACUUCAACAGGCAUAGAUGAAGAAGAGCCGGAAGCAAGCCUUCCCGACAAGCUAGAUGAAGGGUACUGGAUCAUGUACUUCGAUGGCUCCUUCAGCUUGCAGGGCGCCGGCGCCGGAGUAGUGAUCGAGUCGCCCAUAGGCGAUCAACUCAAGUUCGUGAUUCAGCUCGACUUCGCCAACUCCACCAAUAGCAUUGCAGAGUACGAGGGAUUGCUGGCCGGGCUGCGCGCGGUGAUCGCCCUCGUCAUCAAGCGCUUCGUAGUUCGCGGGGAUUCCCAACUCGUGAUCAACCAGGUAAACAAGGACUACGACUAUCUCCAAAUGGCAGCGUACGUGGAAGAAGUGCGAAAGCUGGAGUCAAGUUCCAAGGGCUACGGUUUGAGCACGUCAAGCGCAAGGACAACUUUGUUGCAGAUGAGCUGUCCAAGUGGGCAGCGGAACGCAACAAGGUGCCUCCUGGGGUAUUCGUGCAGAGGCAGUCAAAGCCUUCUGUCGAUCCCAAGUCAGUUGCCGGGGAAGCCCCUCUGGCAAGUCAAGGAGACCCCGCAGUCGCGGAGCACCAUGCUACUGAUCUCGUGGCAUGUUUGAGCCGGGUACCACCACCUUGGGCAGCGGAUAUCACCCGCUCCCUCAAGGAUGGGACCCUUCCGGGAGAAGACAUUGCCGCGGAGCGAGUGGCCCGGCAAGCAUGGAUGUACGCUCUAGUGGACGGGGAUCUCUAUCGGAGGUGUGCAAAUGGAGUGUUGCUCCUCUGCGUGUCCCAGGAAGAAGGGCGCAUGUUGCUGGAGGAUAUCCACCUAGGCACAUGCUCACAUCAUGUGGCUCUAGGGCGCUGGCUGGGAAAGCGUUCUGGCACGGCUUCUACGGGCCAAUAGCAUUAGCCGAUGCCGAACAGUUCGUCAAGACCUGUGAAGCUUGUCAGUUUCACGCCAAGAAAAUCAGCCGGCUCAAGCCCUCCAAGUCAUCCCGUCCUCGUGGCCGUUUGCGGUCUUAGGGCUAGACAUCGUCGGCAAGAUGCCGAGAGCCGUCGGUGGCUAUGAGUAUCUUCUUGUGGCCAUCGACAAGUUCUCCAUGUGGGUCGAGGUGGAGCCUGUGCGAAUUGUCACAGUGCAGGCGGCCAUCAAGUUGUUCAAGGGCAUUGUGUGCCGGUUUGGUGUGCCCAACGGCAUUCAGCUUGUUGCUCUCGGACGCCUUCUCGGUGAUGUCCUCGUCAAUGAGCCGAAGUUCCUGCCGCGCCAUGUCGAGCUCGCCUUGGAGAGAUGAGUUCGCUUCCUGGGCAGCCUUGAGCUGCCUUGCAAGCUCGAGCUCCUGGGCGCGGGACCACACCUGCAGCUCCUUCUCCCGGCGAGCCGAAGCUUCGGAUGCCGUCGGAGCCGCCGUCUCCAGCUCUCCGACCUCCCGACGGAGGCGCUUGAUCUCUAGGGAGAAGCCGGAGAGCAAGUCCUCCUUCUCCCGCAGACGCUCCUGGAACCAGUCCAGUGAUGCCUGGUGCUCUUCCGCGUCCUUGGCGUGUGUGGCCUUCAGCAACUCGAGCUCCCGCUGGUGCUCCUACUGCUGACCCCACAGUUGACGCAGGACUUCCGCCUCCGGGACCCCUUGCACGGCGGGCGUCGCCCUCACCUGCUGGAGCUCCUCCCAGAGCCAUUGCAGCUUUGAGCGCUGCUCCACCGCCUCCUUCCACACGGUACCCAGCUCUGCCACCACGCGAGCAUGGUGCUGCUGCGCAUCGUUGAAGAAAUCGACAAACAUCCGGUGCUGUUGCUGGAUGUUGUCGAUCACUUGGUACCCUUGUUGGAAGACACUGGGGUCGAAGGUGAUUCGACCCCACGAAUGCCUGGCGAGCGCCCCUGCACCCAAACUGAAGGCGGCUCCGGCGGAGGUGGAAGCCCCCGCUGCGAUCCGGAGGCCGCGUCCGGACUCGGCAGCGCACCCAAUCGAAGUCCCGCGGCUCCCUGCCCACUUCAAGGAGCGGGAUGGGGGCUCGACGGCUUCUCCAGGGCGUCGCUGCCUGUCUCCUUAGGCAGAGGCUGGCCCGCGUUGUCUGCUGCCCGUUGCGCCAUCUGCGCGGCACCUCCCGCAGUGCUCGUCGCUGUCCCGGCAAGCCCCGGGGCGGCUUGUUAGGAGAUCCCGGCAGGAAUGGUGUCCUUUGGGGCGUCAUCGACCGCGUUGGUGAGGUUGAUCACACGCACGUCAGUUCUUGCGGGUGCAGAUGGAGCGCCCCCGACCAACAGUUGGUUAGUGAACGACUCAAAUGAGAGUCCUUGUAUUCACAAACGGGACCCAAGACGAGUCUUAACAUUUUUAUGGUAAACUCCAUUAUCCUGUAUGAAAGAUACUUUCGAGUCAUGAUAUUUGAGUCAGACUUCGUCAUGAAUGACAUACCUGUUGAAGGUGAAGAGUCAUUUGGUUAGCCGAUCUGACUGGGUGCACAGUCUAUGUAACGGCUCGAGACCAACCCUUUUGCUUUUAAGCCCUUUUGGACUGUUUGUAAUUUAAUUAUCUUCAUCGUCGUGUCAUGCUCAUGCCAUCAUCUGCAUAUAUGCCAUGUCAUUAGCAUCAUCUCACAUGUCGCUUGCACAAAAUGUCACUUCUUUUGUGUUGUCAUGUGCUUGUCUUUUGUUGUGCUUGUAAAAGCCUAAAAAUUAUUUUAUAGAAAUCCUAAUUUGGUUUGACAAAAUAAUUCCGGGUUUGAUUAGACCUACCUUUUGUGUUCUUGUUUUAUUAUGAAAACUAAACUUGCAAAAACCUGUAUUUUUGUUUGAGGUUUCUGUUGGCCCAAAAGCCCAUUAAGCCAAUGAAGCGACCGCCCCCGUAAAAAGGGUUCGAUCUCUGUGCUUUAGUGCUAGUCCCUGGAUCGACUCACUAGCACACACAGUUUCAAGAUGUAAUAUCAUAGAACAAAGGUCUCAAUAUUACAACGUAUCAUCCAGAAUAUAAAAGGGUACUUACAACUCGCAUAACCUCACGGGUUAGCUGGAAAUAAAACAAUUGUUUAGCAGCGGAAAACGGAAGAUACAAGGGCACAUCAACACCACGGUGAGAGCGUGUUGGAAUGUAGGCCCGUAACCCAAACAAGUAGAACGUACAUCUUACUCGUCGUCGGAGCUUCCUGCAUCAUUAAACGAUGCAGCCACUAGGGUCAAUACAUUGAAUGUAUUGGCAAGAUUCACUAGGAGUUAUAUCAGAACCUACCAAAUAUAUGCAGUAUUUGGCAAGGUGGAGUUCAGGCUGUUUGCAUGGAAGCAGAACAUAAAUUACCCUACUACAAAGGAAUGUUAUAAUAAUGUUAACUAAUGGACACGGGGUAGACACACCCAUGCUCCUAUUAACCUAGAGUACAUUGAAGUGGAUUCUUCAAGUGCUCCUACCCUGUUCAAACCAUUCAUUUUAUUUAAGAAAUUGGAAUGAGUGAGACUUUCCUUACAGCUCCACAUCUAGUUGCUCAAAUUGUCCGUUGCCGGGGACACGGCUAAGUACUUAGUUUUGACGCUCUCGAGAGUUUGUACACAUUCCCCACAAGAAACCGACGUGUUAAUCCCUUGCUGUCCUCAGGGUAGAGUAGCAACGGCAUCGAUUACGAGAUUUUCAGAGGUAAUUCCCUAAACCACGAGAGAAUCACGCUCCCCCUACACGGCUACCUCAGUACAAUUCCUCGGGUCUAGGUUCAUACAACUUACUCUUGUCUCGCCAGAGCCCAUAUAGCAUUGUGGUUGUACUAGAAGCUUCUAAAUAGGAAACUAGUCCAGUCUCAGUUACCCCAGGUGGCAUUCCACAUUUGCAACGUAGGCGCUCCCCGAAUCCACGGGAGAGACGUCCAUGGACGAUCCAUUCCUGAAUCCACGGGAACUCGACUCAGAGGGACCCAUAGAAAUGGACCUGACGCCGCUAAUCCUCAAAAUCCUCAAAGCAGCCCACCCAGGAUGGUUCAUUGAAUUAGUUGUUUUGCCUUACAUCUAACAAAACAUUUCAUAUAGCCAAAGGCAUAACAAUAUCAUAAUGUAGUUAUUUCCCCCACGAUACUACCAUAGCUUAGCAUUCAAACUACAAUCGAUGGCAAUUUGGUAGCAAGGUAAUGGCGAGGGUAAACUAUACUACCUGGGAUUUAUAGCUAGCAUAGAGGUACGAGUAAUAGUCCUAUCAAUGCAUCUCUACCAACAACACUAAUGCAUAAGUAUUUUAAAACAACAAUAAUAAUGGGAUAUGAUCAAAGUGAACUUGCCUUGUCCAAGGUUGUGGUAGUUCUCGCACUCUUCGCAACAACAAGAAAUACACUCCACACAAUCUAAAAUAAAAGAAACACACACAAUAAACACAACAUUCAAUACAAAAACCAUGCCAUGAUGCAUAUGCCAAGAUGAUGCACACAAAGGUUACUUCUAACGUACAAAGUUUCGUUUCUGUUUUGAAAAGGCUCUCAAAAGAUUUGGACAGAUUAUACAACAUCAAAGUGGUAAUUAAUAUGCAAGAAACAUGAAUAGGGUUUAAAACAAAAGAUUGUGCGGCUUUUGUAACAUAGAGCAAUAGUUAACUUGUAUGCCAUGAUUAAACACAAAAUAAUUCCUUCUCUGGUCCUAAUGGAUAGAGAACAAGCUUAAAUAAUUUUAUAGCAAGCUAACAUGCUCAAAACUAUUUUGAAACAAUUCAUUUGAAAUUUAAACCAUAAACCACCAUUCUGUAAAUAGCUACUAUCUAAGUUAUUCAAAACUGAAAAUAAACAGUGCCAAAAUAUUCCACACGCUGCGACGAUUCCAGAAAGGUGUGGAUCGUAAAUUUUGGACAAACGGUUUAAAAGAUACGUGGUUUUGAAGUUGUAGGGGCUUUUCUGCAAAAGUGCAUUAUCCACUUCGGCCGAAAAUAAAAUAAACAAGAAAGCCUUGCCACGUGGCAGCGCGGGACUGGCCAGUUUCUAGGGUUCCGGCCGGCGGCUAGCUCGCCGGCGGCGGCGCAGGGCGGCGCGGGGCGGCGCGGGGCGGCGCGGCGCGGCGCGGCGCGGGCUGCGCGGAGGCGGCGCGGGGCGGCGCGGCGCGACGGGCGGCGCGCGGGCGGAGCGGGGGUGCGGCCAGGCGGAGCGGGAGGCGGAGGCGGCGCGCGGACGGCGGAGCACGGGCGGCGGGCGGCGGCCGGCGCCGAGGAAGACGGCGGAUGGAGGCGCAGAGCUCCAAAUCGCGGCCGGCUCGCGUCACGGCGUGCGCAAGGAAGAGAGGAGGAAGACUAGGGGGUCGGCGCGGGCGGAGACUCACCGGAACGGCGGCGAAACGCGAAGAACGGCGGUGGCAGCAACGAACUCCGGCGAGCAAUUACUUUCUAACCGGUGCGAAAUUGAACGUGGGGUUUGGGGGAAGUGGAGGAGAAAAGCGAGGCCUUCGGGGUGACGCGCAAGGAUUUGGAGAAAACGGCCCGAGCGCGGAGAAAACGGAGGUGGAGUCGUGGGCAGUUCGCGGGCAUGCGUGGCCGGAUUUUUCGGACGGAGGUUGAAGAUGACGCGUGGGUCCCACCGGUCAGUGAGGGUGGCCGGCCGGUUCGGGCUGGGCCGGUUCGGUUCGAUCCGGUCCGGUCCGGUUUGACCGGUUCGGUCCGGUUUUCCUCGGUUUUUCCUUUUCUUUUAUCUAUUUUCUGUUUUUGAACCUCAAAAUUGAUUCGGAGCUCCAAAUCACUCCAAAUAAAAUGCAACAAAAUUUGUAAAAUCAUAUUUUCAUAUGAUCUAACUUUUGGAGCAAGAAAUUUCUCAAAAUAAAAUAUUUAAAAAUAUAUUUGCCUAUAAAAUGGCUUUUAGGGCCCUUAGGUUAUCAAAACAAAUUAUUUUUCAAAAUACUUUCAAAAACCAAUUAUGGGAUAGCUCUAUAUAUGCAUUAAAUCCCUUUUUACCACGAUACCUUAUUGGGUUAAAAAUGCAAAUAUUCAAGAGCAAGAUCAAAGCCCAAAAUCAAAUAAAAGCAUUUUUACAAAAGGGGUUUUCUGGGCAAAUUUUAGGGUUUUGAAAGUGAUCAAAUGCAAGGGUGACAUGAUGCUUAUGAUAUGCAAUGCAUAUGAAGAAUUUUGAAAAUUGGGAUGUUACAGCCAAACCCUAACCAUAGCCAUUUUAAUCCCCUUUCUUUCUCUCUUUUCCUUUCUUCCUCUUUUUUCCUCCUGCCGCCGCCACCCUUCUCCCUGGCCGAUCCCCAUCUUCUUCCUCUUCCUGCCGCCGCCACCUUUCCAUGGCAGGCUCGCCCUCGAAGCUCCCUUCUCGUGGCCGCCCAGCUCCUCGCCGCCUAUGCUCUCCACGCGCGCCGCCCCGCUUCCCUGACCGCCUCGCCGUGCGCCUCCACCUCGCUAGCUGCCCCGCGCCACCCAGCUCCCUCCUGCCUGCUCUUCGUGCUGCUGUUCCACGUCGCCCGCGCUUGCCCGCGCCUCUCCACCUCGCCGGCGCCGCCUCUCCCCUUCCCCGAGCGCCACCUCGCGCCCUGCUGCUCCCCACACCGGCGACCAUCCCCACAGCUCCCUCUCUCUCUCCCCUGGCCACCUCCCUUGCUGGUCGCCCCUGUCCCUCACCGGCCUGAUCUCCUCCGCCCGCGCCAUUCCUCCUCCCGGCCUGCUGCUGGCCGUCGCGCCCUGCCGUUCGUCACCGCCAGCGCCUCCCCUUGCUCCAGCGCCGUCCACCUCACUGCUGGUCUCCUCUUCCCAGCACGCCGCCAAGCUCCUCCGUCGCCGAGCUCCCUUGUCUGCACCUCGCCGGCGCCGCCUGCUGCCCCUGGCCGCGCCGCCCCCACCUGCCGCUCGCCGUCAGCCUCCUCGUGAUACGGGUCCGGGUGGCCCGAUCUUUCGAUGAGAUUGGUAACUCUCGAUUUGGGUAGGAGGUGACGUUGACGAUCCGACUACGGCCUAGGAGGCAGCGCCUUAGCAAUCGAUACACCAACUCCAAAGGGUUAUUGAUCACGCGGGGGCACGAUCAACCUGACCACGAAGGUCUUUGUUCCUGCAAGCAAUCGAAGAACAAGCAAGAACAAGAUAAAUAGCGGAUGCAAUCUAAAAUUGUGAAUAUACUAUAUCAAACCAAUGUCUCAACGAGACGAUAAGUUGGGGUUCCGAAAGCGGUAAAACAGGUGGUCUAACCGACACACGCGAUUACACGAAGUAGUAGCGAUGGCUAACUUUUAACUAAACAAAACCCAAGGCUCCUUAGGGGGGCUCAUGGGGUAUAUAAAGGAGGAGGGAGAGAUAUUUUCGUCCACCUUGAAUAAGGAGUCCGAAAUCCAACUCUAUCUCUAACUUUCCUAAAAAACUACAACUCUUUAGAAAACAGAAAAACAGAUCCGUCAGCUUGUUUUGUCCGCCACGAUCAGCACGAGUCGAAUCUCUUGAUGGGGCCAGAUCCGUUGGAAAGCUCUCGUAAUUACCUUUCCAACAAGUACUUGUUUGCUUGAUUUGGACUCCGGAUGCGGCCUGGGUGAUUAAAACAAAUUCGGGUCUCCUGGCAGCUCGGACCCGAAUCGGAUUCAACUUUAAUUCGUGAUAUCUUUCUCUAGCAAGCUCCGAAUCAUGUGCCGUUUGAUUUGUUGCAAAGUACACUUUAAAUCCUUCCCUCUCAGCUGUAUGAAUGCUUGAUUCUUGUUGGCCCUCCCGUUCGCCUCCAUCGUAUCUCAUCUUGACCUUGGACUUGAAAAGCUCGACAAGAUGCCUACGUAAUAAAACGAGACAAGAUAGUAGUAGCUCCGCCUCUUCAUAAAUAUGACAAUGAAAACAAUUACUACUUGAAUUCACCUGAUUAUAAAUCUUGUCAAAUAUUAUAGAAUUGAGGGCACCAAAGGUCGUAUCCAUGGUUAGCAUGUCCAUAUCAUCCUCCCUUUCUUGAAUGGAAAGCCGUCCUCGGCGUCGUUUGUGCUGUAAAGAGACUGACAAAAUAGACAAAGUGUGUGCAUGGUAUAUGUAUAUGUCAUCCAUCUUUAUACAUCUCCUUUCUUGCACAAUUAAUCUUUUAUAACAAAGUCUCAUGACAUAAUUAGUAAAACAAUCAUGAUGAAUAACAUUCCAGCAAGAAGAUUGACAAUAUUGUUUGCAUUUAUAAGCGAAACGAUUUCUUGUAUUUGGUUUGCACCGCUCACCAUUACACCAUCCCAACAUUGGACAAUAAUAAUGAAUAGUAUCCAAAUUAGUUACUACAAUAUGCUGAAAUUUAGAGCAAGUCAAAGCACUAAUAUUCAAACAAGCAUGUAAAUAACUAUUUGGCAAAUAAUCAACACCUAUAUUGGAGGUCCUAUCAAAAUGAUUAAGCAUGUGCAAAAAUUGAUUUUCUCCCAAGAGAGGAAAAUUAUCACAAGUAGUGCAAAUCUCAUGCACCAAAAUGAUAUUGUUCACAUCAUGUUGUCCAAUUAAAUGAAUUGUGUAUCCAUGAACAGCAAAAGAUUUCAAAGUUGUUAACUCACACAGUUUAUUCAUUGCAUGCGACAAAUACAUGGGACUAUCAAGUGCAAUAUAACACAAAGAAUUAAUAGGUGGAUCGUUCUCAAUCACUCCAUGUGUAAUUAAGUCGACACAACCUAAACCAAAUUUAUCUACAUCACAUGUUUCUCCCAAAACAUUAGUUAUUUCCUCACAUGAUUCAUUCUCAUCAAUAUCAAAAUUAAUAUGUGCACUCAAAUCAUUAGAAGAAUUAAUUUCAGCAGUAGGUGCACUCAAAUCAGCAUGUAAAUCAACAAUUUCACAUGGUGCAGAAAAUUCAACGAGUAUCUCAUUUAUUUGAUCACAUGUCAUAUUUUGUUCAGCAACACAAUCGUCUUUAUCAUUACCUUGUAGGCUCAACACGUUUCUUGUACACCUUCUCUCCAAUUUCCUCUCCGCUUCACGAGCAAGAUUAAACAAACACAAUAGAGAGUCGUAUUUUCCGUAUUCAAUUAUGUAAGAAAUAUCAAAGUUAAGCCCACAAUAAAACCUAUCCAUUUUUCUUUGUUCGGUUUCAUCUAAACCAGAUCGCAAGGUUAAAAUUUGGAACUCAUGGUAGUAAUCAUCAACAGUUUUAUCAUCUUGUGUCAAACGUCGUAAUUUGGAACGCAACUCAUAAGCAUAACUUGGAGGAACAUAUUUUUCUCUCAUGAUUUUCUUCAUACCAAUCCAAGUGUGAGGUAUUUUGUUUUCUCUAACUAUCUCACACCACCAUGAUAAUGCAUCAAAACGAAAUUUACUACUAGCAAUUUGGACCUUACGACUAUCUAGUACCUGGAAGCAUGUGAAUUGUUCAGUUAAAGCUAGCUCCCAAUCUAUAUACGUUUCAGCAUCAUUUUCCCCCUCAAAGAAAGGUACACACAAUUUAAUUGUAUUAGAAGGAUUGUUUUGUACCGUUGCCGUGGCAUUAUGAACAAGAGACGUGGAGGAUGGUCGUGGUGAAAAGCACUCAUCGCGGUCACGGGAUAGCAUCGGUCUAGUUGCCAUGCUUCGUGUAAGUCCUGUCAUGGUUAGUAGAAAACAAGAAACAAAUCACAGUAAUAUGUUCCUAUCAACUACUAGGAUGUGGCUACAAGUCGCUCAACUCUCAAGCUAAAAAUCAAGUUCUUACCAUGCAAAACAGGAAGGUGAUGGCCAGCGGCGUGACCAAGCCCUCCGAAGAUUAAAUGUAUCGAUGCCUCGGUAACAAACCAACCUAGGUGUAGAAUCUGUGGAGCUUGGAGGCUUUUGUGAGUAGCAAAGAAUAGCAAAUAAUCAAAUCAGCAAUGCAAAGUUGAAAAUAUGCUCAAUAAUGCUAGUCCUAGCUGCUGGAGUCGAUAAGAACGAAUUACAGAAAUAAUCUACGCCUAGAUACUGAAGAAGGUAGGAUAGAAAGAUGGCACAAGAAGUAAAUCUCUGGGAUUUUUUUUUCUUUUUUUUUUCCUUUUUGUGGCCUUCUGUUUGGCUUCUUAUUCUUUUCUUCUUCUUUUUUUUUCUUUUUUUUCUUUUUUUACCCCAGAAACUCACGCAAAAGAAGGACCGGAAAACUGUACGUCGGUCUGUCGAAGAACAGCAAAGGCUGCAGUAAGAAAAAUUCAGAAAAAUAUGGAAAGAUAUGGGUUAGAAGGGUAUCGACACAAGCUUUCCAGCAAGGGCAAGAUCACUCAAAACGGAUAUCGGACGGUGGAGAAACUGAGAAACACCGGGCUGCAGCGACGUCGGAAAACGGAUGCAAAAACUUGGAAGCUCAGAAAGUCCACCUUACAAACCGAAUUUGGGGGUCAAAGUGCAGGGCAACGCCCUGGAUAUUUCCUGAUGCGCCUCGUCCUGAGCUUUCCAAAAAGUCCAAGAACGUCCAAAUCCGAGUUGGUACGCAAAAGAUACGCCCGUUUUACUGAACACGGAUCAAACCCACCCGAAACUAAAAAUUCUACUCGGACUCGGAUCCGAAACUGACUCGAACUCUUUUCUUUUUUUUUCGUUUUUUUUUUCUUUCUUUCCUUUUUUUUUUCUUUCCUUUCUUUUUUUUUUUGACAACUUUCCGAACAACUUGAUCUCUAAACAAAAUUCGAUCUAUUAUGAAAACUUUCCAAAAGCACUCUUGAUUGGAUUCGGACUCGAACUUGCGGCUGAAAACUAUAACUUGCCGACUCAAUGUAGAACUCGAUGUAGGACACGGUGUAGGACUCGACGAGGGACUCGGUGUAGGACUCGAUGAGGGACUCGGUGUAGGACUCCAAGAGGGACUCGGUGUAGGACUCGAAGAGAGACUCGGUGGAAGAUAUGGUGGCGGCGGGAGAUUAUGGCGGUGGUGUGGCAGGAAGUUUGGCGGCGGAAGAUUGAUGAAGGAAACCUGCGUCACACGAAGAACAAGAAAACCAAAAGCAAGUUCGAUCUAGUAGAAAAAAUCUGAAAAACGAUCCAAUCUAAUCCAGCAACUCGACACGAUUAAUGCAGCAAAGAUUCAACAAUGCAAAUACUAAAGUGAAAAUUGCAAGGCUCAGAUUGGUUCUAGGACAAGGUAACUAAUUCUAAUUUUUAUUUGGCUUUUUCUGGACGAUAGGUAAAAACAGAUCUAAACUACGGAUAAACUGGAAAAAUCUCACCGAGCAACCUUAAGCUCUGAUACCACGUGAUACGGGUGCGGGUGGCCCGAUCUUUCGAUGAGAUUGGUAACUCUCGAUUUGGGUAGGAGGUGACGUUGACGAUCCGACUACGGCCUAGGAGGCAGCGCCUUAGCAAUCGAUACACCAACUCCAAAGGGUUAUUGAUCACGCGGGGGCACGAUCAACCUGACCACGAAGGUCUUUGUUCCUGCAAGCAAUCGAAGAACAAGCAAGAACAAGAUAAAUAGCGGAUGCAAUCUAAAAUUGCGAAUAUACUAUAUCAAACCAAUGUCUCAACGAGACGAUAAGUUGGAGUCUUGACGACGGUAAAACAGGUGGUCUAACCGACACACGCGAUUACACGAAAGUAGCAAAGAUGGCUAAACUUUAUCUAAUCAAAACCCCAGAAACUCACGCAAAAGAACGACCGGAAAACUGUACGUCGGUCUGUCGAAGAACAGCAAAGGCUGCAGUAAGAAAAAUCUAGAAAAAUAUGGAAAAAUAUGGGUUAGAAGGGUAUCGACACAAGCUUUCCAGCAAGGGCAAGAUCACUCAAAACGGAUGUCGGACAAUGGAGAAAACUGAGAAACACCGGGCUGCAGCGACGCCGGAAAACGGAUGCAGAAACUUGGAAGCUCAGAAAGUCCACCUUACAAACCGAAUUUGGGGGUCAAAGUGCAGGGCAACGCCCUGGAUAUUUCCUGAUGCGCCUCGUCCUGAGCUUUCCAAAAAGUCCAAGAACGUCCAAAUCCGAGUUGGUACGCAAAAGAUACGCCCGUUUUACUGAACACGGGUCAAACCCACCCGAAACUAAAAUUCUACUCGGACUCGGGUCCGAAACUGACUCGAACUCUUUUUUUUUUUCUUUUUUUUUUCUUUCUUUCUUUCCUUUUUUUUUUUCUUUCCUUUCUUUUUUUUUUUCAAAUUUCCAAACAACUUGAUCUCUAAACAAAAUUCGAUCUAUGAUGAAACACUUUCCAAAAGCACUCCUUAUUGGACUCGGACUCGGAUUCGCGGCUGAAAACUAUAACUUGCCGACUCGGUGUAGGACUCGAAGAGGGACUCGGUGUAGGACUCGAUGAGGGACUCGGUGUAGGACUCCAAGAGGGACUCGGUGUAGGACUCGAUGAGGGACUCGGUGUAGGACUCCAAGAGGGACUCGGUGGAAGAUAUGGUGGCGGCGGAAGAUUAUGGCGGUGGUGUGGCAGGAAGUUUGGCGGCGGAAGAUUGAUGAAGGAAACCUGCGUCACACGAAGAACAAGAAAACCAAAAGCAAGUUCGAUCUAGUAGAAAAAAUCUGAAAAACGAUCCAAUCUAAUCCAGCAACUCGACACGAUUAAUGCAGCAAAGAUUCAACAAUGCAAAUACUAAUGUGAAAAUUGCAAGGCUCAGAUUGGUUCUAGGACAAGGUAACUAAUUCUAAUUUUUGUUUGGCUUUUUCUGGACGAUAGGUAAAAACAGAUCUAAACUACGGAUAAACUGGAAAAAUCUCACCGAGCAACCUUAAGCUCUGGUACCACGUGAUACGGGUGCGGGUGGCCCGAUCUUUCGAUGAGAUUGGUAACUCUCGAUUUGGGUAGGAGGUGACGUUGACGAUCCGACUACGGCCUAGGAGGCAGCGCCUUAGCAAUCGAUACACCAACUCCAAAGGGUUAUUGAUCACGCGGGGGCACGAUCAACCUGACCACGAAGGUCUUUGUUCCUGCAAGCAAUCGAAGAACAAGCAAGAACAAGAUAAAUAGCGGAUGCAAUCUAAAAUUGCGAAUAUACUAUAUCAAACCAAUGUCUCAACGAGACGAUAAGUUGGGGUUCCGAAAGCGGUAAAACAGGUGGUCUAACCGACACACGCGAUUACACGAAGUAGUAGCGAUGGCUAACUUUUAACUAAACAAAACCCAAGGCUCCUUAGGGGGGUUCAUGGGGUAUAUAAAGGAGGAGGGAGAGAUAUUUUCGUCCACCUUGAAUAAGGAGUCCGAAAUCCAACUCUAUCUCUAACUUUCCUAACAAACUACAACUCUUUAGGAAACAGAAAAACAGAUCCGUCAGCUUGUUUUGUCCGCCACGGUCAGCACGAGUCGAAUCUCUUGAUGGGGCCAGAUCCGUUGGAAAGGUCUUGUAAUUACCUUUCCAACAAGUACUUGUUUGCUUGAUUUGGACUCCGGAUGCGGCCUGGGUGAUUAAAACAAAUUCGGGUCUCCUGACAGCUCGGACCCGAAUCGGAUUCAACUUUAAUUCGUGAUAUCUUUCUCUAGCAAGCUCCGAAUCAUGUGCCGUUUGAUUUGUUGGAAAGUAGACUUGAUAGGCUUCACUUUGAAUCUCCCUUUGCAGGCUAUAACACUUCAUCUUCACUUUGGACUUGUAAAGUUCAAUAAGAUGCCUACAUAAUAAGAUUACACAAGAUAGUAGCUCCGCCUCUUUGCAACUAACAUAUUGAAAACAUUUUGUAAUUGAAUUCACCUGAUUAUAAUUAUUAGAGACACCAGCAAUUAGGGUUCUAAUGGUCGUAUCCAUGGUUAGCAUGUCCAUAUCAUCCUCCCUUUCUUGAAAGGAAAGCCGUCCUCGGCGUCGUUUAUGCUGAAAAUAUGCUAACAAAAGAGACAAGGUAUGCGCAUGGUAUAUGUAUAUGUCGUCAAUUUUAACUCCACUCCCAUGCUGCACAUUCGAUGUUUCACGUAAAUAAAACUCAUAAUAGUGCAAAAGAUUAAUAGUCAUAUUCCAACGGCAAGUAUCACAUUUUAAUUUGUAAUUCUCAUCAUUAAACCAUACUAAUGUAGGUGAACAAUAAUUCAAAAUUCCCAAAUGGCGAGCUACAAUAUGCGUCAAUGUGCAAUCAUGCCACAAGUUAUUUGUCGUACAACUAUCACCAAUAUUAGAGGUCAUAUCAAAAUGAUUGAGCAUACACAAAAUAUUGUUGUCUCUCAAAUCAAGAAAGUUAUCACAAGCAAUGCAAAUCUGAUGCACCAAAACUUUAUUGUUGACAUCAUGUUCUCCAAUUAAUUGAAUAGUGUAUCCAUGGGCAUUAGCAAAAGAUUUUGAAAUUGUUAACUCAGAAACUUUAUCCAUUGCAUGUGACAAAUAUAUAGGUGUAUCAAGUGUAAUAUAACACAAAGAAUUAAUAGGUGGAUCCUUAUCAAUCACUCCAUGUCUAAUCAACUCGACACAACCUAAAUCAAAUUUAUCUAUCUCAUUUGUUUCGCCCAAAACAUUAGUUAUUUCCUCACAUGAUUCGUUCUCAUCAAAAUCAAAAUUAAUUUGUGCACUCAAAUCAUUAGAAAAAUUAAUUUCAGCAGUAGGUACACUUGAAUCACCAUGUACGACAAUAAUUUCACAUGGUGCAGAAAAUUCAACAGGUAUCACAUUUAUUUCAUCACAUGCCCUUUUUAGUUCAGCAACACAAUCCUCUGUGUCACUACCUUGUGGGCUCGACUCAUUUGUAGUAGACCCUCGCUGUAAUUUCCUCUCAACUUUACGAGCAAGAUUAAGCAAACACAAAAGAGAGUCGUAUUUUCCGUAUUCAAUUAUGUAAGAAAUAUCAAAGUUAAGCCCACAAUAAAACCUAUCCAUUUUUCUUUGUUCGGUUUCAUCUAAACCAGAUCGCAAGGUUAAAAUUUGGAACUCAUGGUAGUAAUCCUCAACAGUUUUAUCAUCUUGUGUCAAACGUCGUAAUUUGGAACGCAACUCAUAAGCAUAACUUGGAGGAACAUAUUUUUCUCUCAUGAUUUUCUUCAUAUCAAUCCAAGUGUGAGGUAUUUUGUUUUCUCCAACUAUCUCACUCCACCAUGAUAAUGCAUCAAAACGAAAUCUACUACUAGCAAUUUGGACCUUACGACUAUCUAGUACAUGGAAGCAUGUGAAUUGCUCAAUUAGAGCUAUUUCCCAAUCAAUAUAAGCUUCAGCAUCAUUAUUUCCAUCAAAGAAAGGUCCAAAACAAUUAGUGACAUUACAAGGAUUGCGAUAUACCUUUUCCUUGCCAAUGUCAACAAGAGACGAGGAGGAUGGAUGUGGUGAAAAACGCUCAUGUCGGUCACUUGAUAGCAUAGGUCUAUUUUCCAUCCUUUGUGUAAGUCCUGUCAUGGUGUCCGGGUGGCCCGAUCUUUCGAUGAGAUUGGUAACUCUCGAUUUGGGUAGGAGGUGACGUUGACGAUCCGACUACGGCCUAGGAGGCAGCGCCUUAGCAAUCGAUACACCAACUCCAAAGGGUUAUUGAUCACGCUGGGGCACGAUCAACCUGACCACGAAGGUCUUUGUUCCUGCAAGCAAUCGAAGAACAAGCAAGAACAAGAUAAAUAGCGGAUGCAAUCUAAAAUUGCGAAUAUACUAUAUCAAACCAAUGUCUCAACGAGACGAUAAGUUGGGGUUCCGAAAGCGGUAAAACAGGUGGUCUAACCGACACACGCGAUUACACGAAGUAGUAGCGAUGGCUAACUUUUAACUAAACAAAACCCAAGGCUCCUUAGGGGGGCUCAUGGGGUAUAUAAAGGAGGAGGGAGAGAUAUUUUCGUCCACCUUGAAUAAGGAGUCCGAAAUCCAACUCUAUCUCUAACUUUCCUAACAAACUACAACUCUUUAGAAAACAGAAAAACAGAUCCGUCAGCUUGUUUUGUCCGCCACGAUCAGCACGAGUCGAAUCUCUUGAUGGGGCCAGAUCCGUUGGAAAGCUCUCGUAAUUACCUUUCCAACAAGUACUUGUUUGCUUGAUUUGGACUCCGGAUGCGGCCUGGGUGAUUAAAACAAAUUCGGGUCUCCUGGCAGCUCGGACCCGAAUCGGAUUCAACUUUAAUUCGUGAUAUCUUUCUCUAUCAAGCUCCGAAUCAUGUGCCGUUUGAUUUGUUGCAAAGUACACUUUAAAUCCUUCCCUCUCAGCUGUAUGAAUGCUUGAUUCUUGUUGGCCCUCCCGUUCGCCUCCAUCGUAUCUCAUCUUGACCUUGGACUUGAAAAGCUCGACAAGAUGCCUACGUAAUAAAACGAGACAAGAUAGUAGUAGCUCCGCCUCUUCAUAAAUAUGACAAUGAAAACAAUUAGUACUUGAAUUCACCUGAUUAUAAAUCUUGUCAAAUAUUAUAGAAUUGAGGGCACCAAAGGUCGUAUCCAUGGUUAGCAUGUCCAUAUCACCUCGCCGGCGCCGUUGCAUACCUCCGUGCCGACGACCUCUUCUCCGGCCGCCUGCAUGAGCCCCGCAUCCACGUCCUCACCCAUGUGCAGCUGUUGUCUUCGCUCCGCCACCCUCUGCUCGACCUUGCCGCCAGCAGCACCCCUGCCUCUUCUCUCGAGGCCGCCCGCUACUCCAGCAAGCUGGCCGCGACUCCCUCGACCCGCCGGUGCUCGCCCGUGUACCUCGUCGCCGUCUGCAACCUCCCUCCGGCCCGGCUGGGCACACAGGCCCAGGCCGAAGACCAUCUCCAAAACCCAGGCCCGUGCCCUCUUUUCCCUCUUUUCUUCUUUUUCUGGAAAUUGCUAAUUCUUGACGUGUGGGCCCUAUUGGCCAGCGCCUCUCUGCUGUUGUACUUGGCUUUGUGUUGUUGCUGUGAUGCUGUUGGCGCUGCCCUGCGUGUGCUUCGCCGUGCCGCUGCCCAAUACCUUGUUGUGGACCGCGGAGAUCGACGACUGACGAACCCCGAAGAUGGAGCCUUGAACGACUACUUCGCCGCGACGACUACAUCGCCUACGUGAACAGCUAUUUCGCCUACGACGGCUACAUCGUGUAAAACUACAUCAACUACUUCCUCUACAUCGCGACACCGCACUUGUCCAAGGUAUAACGAGCGACCGUCCCGUGAACCGACUGUUCUUCGGCGUAGACCCGUAGGUUGCGAUCGAUGACAUUCAUGUGUUGUAUGAGAUGCCCGUGAUUGUACCGAUAGUAUUAGUUGCAGGUACGUCAUUGUCACCGGCGUGUGCAACCCCGACCUAGUCGGAUCUUUGUGUUAUUCUAGUUAAAGCAUGCACUUGCACCUAUUGAUGUCAUUGUCAUGCAUGCUAAUACAACUAUAACAUUGUUGUGUGUAUUUAAUCAAUUAAACUCUAUUCCUUGCAUAUGGAGUUGUAUAGAAGUUAUGUGUAGUAUUUUCGGACUCCAUUUAACUUGGUAAAAUAUAUAUCGGAUUCACUUUCGGAAUCCUUAAUAUGACAUAAAUCAUCCCUAUGUCAUGCAUCAUUCUUUGAUUGCGCAUAUUAAUUACCAUGUGUACCUUGUAUGCUUAUACUUUCCUUUUAUGUCGUGUAUUUGCUUCUUCCUCGCUAGUCUUUGGUUCCUACGACGACGAUUACACUUGUGUUCUUCUUCCAGGAUUCUUACUCAAUUCCGGGCAUUAAGUUACGAUCUCAGUCUUGUCACGAUGCCAUUAGGAUUGCAUAGCUUAUUAGUCAGUUCCACUUAUUGCCUUAUGUCUUGUUACUUGUCCUAAUACCAUGUCACAUGUUUGUUGUUUCCCUACAUUUUGGUCAUUAGAUGUCAUGCUUAGUUGCGAGUCUAGUGUCCUUAUAUCUGGGGUUCCACAAUUGCUAUUGUCGCACCAGUGGCACCCGGAGUACCACCGUUGCGCGACGCGUGGGCCCUGUCUCCGAGUUCCCGGGAGGACUUUGUCCCGGGCAGCAGCCAUGAGCAGCCCGGCAAGCUACCAGCCCGGAAGGGCUAGCGGGGCUUCGGGGAAUAUUCCCGCCUGGACACCUCCCGGGAACCCACUUGCCGGGAGAGGGGUUGCUGGGCGUGUCGGGCCUGGGUGCCUCCUGGGAAGCCACUUGCCGGGAGGAGGCGUUCCCGGGCGUAGGCUCCCCCCGCGAGGGAGGGGGCCCAGCGGGCCGAGCAACAGCGCCAUGUGGGCGCAUGCCGGGCGUCAAGUACGCAGUCUCGGUAGGGCCAGGAGUGAAGCGCACGGUGCAUUAAAUGAGGCGACAGGAGGGGCAUUACCCGUCCAUAUCAGGUGAAUAGUAGCUGUCCAAUCCUACCUUUAGGGUUUUAGACCCCUGGCAGCGGAGGUGGCAUCCAUGCACGCCACCAGCUCACCGAGGGGGAGUUGCAUGUCUCCCUGAUCGACACUUGUAAUGCAUGCCCGCGGCACCUGUGGUAUCCCCUUCAGUAUAAAAGGAGGACCCUCGUCGACAGCCAAAGGGUUCGAGGAAAAACAGGGUUUCACGGUUCACAAUCUGACGGGUAGAUGGACUCACACUUAGCCAUUAGCAGUACCCUAAAGCAGUGAAGAGCACUUAGCCAAAAAGAGAACGCCCGGGGGACCCUCCCCCCCGGCAACGUGUAAACACUUGAUCUAUAGUCAAUACAAGUUCAGACAAGCAGGACGUAGGGUUUUACACCUCCGGGUGGCCCGAACCUGGGUAAAAACGUGUGUGCAUGUGUUCUUAGCUUGCAUGCAUCCUGGGUACACUACUUUGCAGGUUACAUACGCCAUCGGCCACGCUGGAGAUUGCCGGAGCGAACCCCGACGCCCCUGCCAAACCUAAAAAGGGGGCAUGACCGCACGCCCCUGGUGUCGGAGCCCCGUGCGACGACAUCUAGCGCGAGAGGACAGCUUGCCGGUGACCGCCGGCAGCGGUGUUUGCAUCGACGUCGGCUUCGUCUUCUUCACCGACAGGACCGGCCACCAUGCCCCCCAAGCGUGCUGGUGACCCUUGGAUAGACUCACGUGAGGCCCCAGCGGCACACACGCGGUCGCAUGACGUGCGACCCACGUCGGGGGCUCAGGAGAAUCCGGAGCCCUCGAGAGUGCAGCAAUCACAGCUGCCUCCCCCGCCUCCUCGGCCAUCUGCAGACAAUCGGCUGAGGGGACCAGCGGCCCCUAGUGCCGAGGCCAGCUACGCGAGCGGGCAUGGUGCCGCCCGCACUGGUGUAACAGCCGAGAGCAACUUUUACAUUUAAGCCCUUGUUUGGACCUGUUUGUAAUUUAUUCAAAUGCUGCAUGACAAUUACAUUUGCAUCCAUGCCAUGCCAUGUCUGUUGUUUGUGUCACAUGAGUUUUAUAUUUGCAUCUCAAAUUGUGGUUUGAAUUCUUGUUGUGUAUUUUUGUUAGAAGAUUCAAAUAUGAAUCACCCUCCUUUGAGUUUGAAUUCUUUUCCCUCUAUUUUUUCAAAUGAGAUUCAAAUGGGUUUUGCUUUAAACCUUAAACCCCAUUUGAAUAUUUCCAAAUACUAGUACCAUAUUUGAAUUCUACUACUUCUCCGCUUUUCAAUAUGGUAUUUGAAAUUUGAGUCCAAAAGCAUUUGCAAAAACAGAAAAUAGAAAAGGGAAAAAGAAAAAAUACAAAACCUUACCUGCUCACUUGGCCCGAGCUGACCCUACCGCCUCGGCCCGCCUUCCUCCCGCGCGCGCGAGCAAGCCACCCCGCAGCGCCGGCCUCGUGGCCCCCUUCCCCGCGCAGCCCCGCCGCCCAGCAUUCUUCUGCGCGCUCUCGCUUCCCGUCUCCCCGCAGUGAAAGCGUAAAAUCCCAGAAUGCACUUUGUCUCACAGCUCUCUCUUCUACCUCUGCUUUUCUUCCUUCCGACCGGUGAGCCCCCCCGGCCACGUCGUCUUCGAUAGCGACAGCCACGCCUCCCCCUCGCCUACUUAAGCCGCGCCGCACCUCCUCCUGCCCGCGCCGCCUCUAGGAAACCCUAGUUAGGGUUUUCUCCUUCCCCUUCUGCGCAGCGUCAUCGCCCCGCUCCUUCGGCCGUGGACGCCACCGCGUCGCGCCACCGUCUCCGGCUGAACGGCGGCAAGCCGACCGCGUCACCCGAACCGCGUCGACGCUUGCUAUGUCUACGUGCGAGGAAUUGGACGGAGGACACCUACAUCAACGCCUAGGUCGUCUUCCCCAUCUUCGGCCGCCGCCUCUUCUCCGACAAAUUCCGGCGAGGUCGUCGACUCUUUCCUCGUCCGCUUCCUCCUGAAGAUCCGGGGUGAGAUGUUCUUCCUCCUGCCUCUUUCCGCGCUGCUUUUCAUGCACCGUAGCACCGUACCCGCAAGCGCGCGCUCCGCCGUGCGCCGGCAAGCUUCGGCUCGCCGCCGCGCCGUCGUCUCCUUAAGGAUGCUGUGAUGGCGUUCGUGCCAUCUAGACUCUCUCCGCGCGCCGCUUCUGUUUUUCCUUGUUAGGGAGCCCCUACGCCGCUAGCUUGGUCGCCGGCUUCCAUGCUCGCCGUGGCCACCGCGCGUGCUCCCAAGCCGCUCGCUUGGGCUGAGUUAAGAGGGCUUGCGCCCGGGAUCUUGUAAGAUCCGAACCGCAGCCCGCCUGGUUACCUUGCUCGUCCGUUCGCUUCACACCGACCCGACCCGGGUUUGAUCCCCCGCGCCGCGCGGAAUAAAACCCCCCUUUUUAACAUCUGUCCGAGAUUGAAAGGUGGCCCGGUCAGUCAGCGAACGCGGGCUCCCAUCCGCGUCAGCGCCACGUCAUCGAGGUUCUGGUCCCGUUUGUCAGUGACCGUGGCUAGCUCCCCUUCAGUGUAAAUUGUUUUGAUUGUUUGUUUUCUUUUAUAAAAUCCCAGAAAAUGCUUUGAUCUUGUUUUAUUUGUAGAAUAUUCAUUCUAGGUCCAAAUAAUACAAAGUCUGUAUGUUUUGGAAUCAGAAAAAUGCAAGGAAUUUAACUGUGCAACUAGAUUUACAUUUUGAGGUUUCAAAAUUUAAAUCUGUCCCAGAUUUGAAAUUCAAAAGUAUGAACUUGUUUAGUCUCUAGUUUAAAAUUGUUAACUCUUCUGUGGAUAGUGUAAACAUCAAAGUUGAUCAAUGUAACUUGUAGAACAUAGUAGCAUACCUGGUUAGGCCAUUUGUGUAUUUUAAAGCUGUUGUUUACCAUGUUCUAGUCACCUAAUGGUUAAUUUUGUUGCUAAAUGGAAUCAUUUUCACUUGCAUCUUGUUGCAUCAUGUUGUCACAUGCCAUCUCAUGUUGUAUUGUGCAUUGCACCUACGAAUUGUUACUUAUUUGCGUAUUGUGUGAUUUGGAUCUUUACGUUAGCGACUCCAACUUACUCCGUCGACGAUCCGGGUUCCCACACUUCUUCGGAUCCCCUCUCUCGGUGCCCAGCGACCGAGAAUCCAGGCAAGCAGCCAUUCCUUGAACAUGUUGAUUAUACCAAUGCCUCUCUCUCAUUCUUGCAUUAAGUUACGUUCUCGGUUCUUGUCACCAUGCUUCUAGGACUGCAUAGCUUUAGUCAGCUCUACUCAAAUGCCUGUUGUCUUGUUCCUUAUCCUAUAACCAUGUCACAUGUUUGUUAUUGCCCUAGUUGGUCAUUAGAAGUUGCUAGUCUAGUGUCCUUACUUGGGGUUACACAAUUGCUACAUCCACAUGCUACUUUUCUGUAUUUAAUUGCAAUUCUUUAAACUGUGACUUGUUAUUACCUGCACAAGGCAACGAUGGGAGACCGUGCUAACGCAUUGGUGUUUUGUUCCAUUGGAGUCGACCUAAGGACUGAGUUCUCGUUUUCGCCGACCCAAGAGGCUCACCUCUCAUGGGAGAAUAUAUGGGUUCCCCCUCGGCUUAGUACUUGUUUCAUAGCUCUUCUAGGGCCACAUAGUUCAGGCAUUUCAUUUGGCAUAUCGUAUAUACACUGGUGUUGUGUUUGGAGACUUGUUGAUACUUUGCAUACAUAUAGGAUUGCGGCACUAGUCUGGAGUGGUCAUUCUGCGGACACUGAACCACUACCAGCUGUCCACGCAACUCUUGAGUCCGUACAACGCUUCGGCCGGGCUCUCGUUUUGGAUUAGACUCAGUUGGGUGGUCCCCUGGAUUAGUUGUGGGGCUUGGAAACGUCGUGUCGCUCAAUCCUGCCGGCACAUGCUUUUGCGUGUGUUUCAUGCUAGUGGCGUCAAGGGUAGGACGAACGUGUACGGGUAAAUUGGCACACCCUGCAGGGAUAAAUCUUUCGGAAAGCCGUGUCCGCUGUCAUGGACGACUUGGUUGGUCAUUACUUGAUCAUAGAGAACUCAUACCAAUUGAUUAACUUACUUUCCUAAAUCUGAGUAGUACUUAGCCUUAAUCAUGGAUAUGCUUAAAACUGCUUAAGUGUGAGUUUCCUUUGGAUUGCUUCCUCAAAGGGUGUUGAGGGGGUGAUAUGAGGUUUGUGUUGUUUGGUGUUUAGUAAAUAGGUUAAUCACCUCACUUGGUAGACGCUCCUUAUCCUCAUCUAGACGAUGUCAUUAGCGUGUCUCUCCAGAUAUAUCGCUGCUGCAUAACCCACCUUUUAUUCAUCCUUUGAGACUUGUUGCAUAUCUAGUUUAGAUCUCUCGUAAGUCUUGCAAGUACUUUGUACUCAGUUGGUUUGCAACGUUGUUUUCUCCAGAGUUUCCGGAGGAACAGGUGAGUGGUUACUUCGUGGAGUUUGACGACGACAGCUUCGACGUUUAGCCAGAAGAUACCAGAGCAGGGUUUUGUGAACUUGUGGUGGCUCUCCUUUACAGUUUCAGCCUCUUAGGCAAUAAUUGUAACUUGUCCGUACUCGGGCCUAAUUUGCUUCUGCUGGUGUAAUGAUGAUUGUGGGCAUGUGUCCGUGAGUUGUAAUAACUUGGUAUUUUGCUCUAUGUAUGAGCUUGACUUAAUUCUUGUGUCUUAGAGUGAUGUAAUGAUAUCAUUGUUGUUCCAACCUGCGGUGAACACAUUGCGUGUAUGUUGUGAAGUGUUCAUCGUAGGGGGGCACUGGGGCUUGAUUUAUGCGCGAGUUAGCAUUUGGGGCUAAAUUGCAUAAAUCCAGUCCCGGGGUCUCACAAUUUGGUAUCAGAGCCUCGCUGCCCUUAGGUUUCUCCCUGGUUAGAAAUGGUCAAAGUUGAGUCUAGUAACUAUUUUCAUCUAUAAACUCAUGAGGCAAAUCGGUUUCUGAUACCAGCCGGAGUACACGGUAUUUGAGGAUUACCGUGACUUCAACCAGGAGUAUCUACCGUGCCGUUGUCUGCCUCCACCAAGACGUGCCUUCAGAAAAGUUUCCGGUGCACAAAGCAAUGGGAACUGGGCAUACCAUCGAGUUGGCAAUCCAACAGGUGGCGUACAUGUGCGUGACCCUACUCCACAGGAAGUACGAAAGGCUGGACAAAGGACCGUUCAAGCAUAUCCCAAGAGGCUUCAUCACAUGCGAGAACAAGUUCUUCACACUUCCAGGCUUCCCGAUGAGAAGGUUGCGAAUGACAGCUAUGAUCUCUGCAACUUCGUGUCAAGCCAGGAGCCCAUGAUGGCAAACAUGCGCGCCGAGAUCGUCCACUACCGCAAGCAGCUGUGGAUAGCACUUGGUCACCUCUCCGCCGUGGUUGAUGCAGGAAUGUACGAGAAUGAAGUUCGCUAUCCUCCAAGACCUCCUGCUCAUGAGGGACUCCAUGCGUUUCCAGUGGAUGGGUUUACUCCAGCACGUGGUCCACCAAGAGUGUAACAUCCCAAAAUUUUCAAAUACGGAUGUUCGCACCUUUUCAUUUCUUAUGCAAUAUUGGUGUUCGUUAUGAUGCAUUAUUGAAAGUGUUUGAAAUGGUGUUUUGGAAUGUUUUAGGUUGAUAGAAAUUGAUUUGAGAAUUUUCUAGAAUUUAAAAAUGCAUUCUAGGAUUUUAUUUGGAUUUAUUUAAAGCUUAAAAACCUUAAAACUAUUUUUGUUAAUUUAUUUUUGAGUGGGAAUAAUUUUCCUGGACUCUAAAUGAAAUAUACUAUUUUACAUAACUUUUUGCAAUUUUUCUGAUGCCAUUUGAUAUUUUAAAUGAUUUUAAUGGAAUUUCGGGUUAAUUAUAGAUCUUGAAAAGUAUUUAUUAAUCCUUUUCUUUUAUUCUUUUUCUUUUUCCUCCGGAAAUACGCUUUCUCCACAGGAAAACGUAUUCUUAGUGGGUAGCCUUAUUCGCAGUAGUUCUUCUUGUUGUCCGUAGUAUCAUUUUAGUUGUUUCUUUCUGUAGAUUGAACUUUAGGAACACCCCUUCACAGCCAUUUCCUAGUUGGACCAUUUCAACUUCACCUUCACUAGCAGCACGACGGUAGAAGUUCACAUAUCCUAUUCUGUUCUGUUUUAGAGUAGCCAUAUUCACCUGUUCAUAGCUACUGCCUCAUAUCUCCAUAGUUAGUGAAACCAGUGCCAUUUGAAAGAGUAGAUCAUAUUCUUGGAUUCCUUUGUUUAUUUCUCUGUCAUUGGAAUAGUUUAGCACCAGUAGCUUUUCAGUAGAAGUUAGUAUUCUUUGUCUGUCAGGAUCUGACUAGCCACUUUUGCAAGCUAGUAACUUUUGAUCUAUUUAUCAUUUUGACCUGAAACCUGCUGCGUUAGUUAGUAUAAUCUUAGUAAUGUACUGUAGCAUAUGUUUCAUGCCAUGUUCUGUACUUUAGCACCUUUUACCUGUCAACCCUAGUUGCAAUCUGUUAACAGUAGCAGAUUACUGAAUUUUCAGACUUAGCCACACUAGCCUUAACCUUAAGCUUUAGAACUUGAAUUGUUAAUACUAUGGUAUUACUUAGAUGACAUUUAGGUUCUGUUUUUGUAUGCUUGUGAUACAUCCUUUAUCCGAAGUUCAUUUGGAGUCAUAUUUGGAUUUUGAGAGAUGUUUGGAACUAUGCAUUUAUUGUUGUUUCGUUCUUCAUGUUAGAUUAUUCGGAUUGCGAUUGCAACGAGUGCCAGGGAGUUGAUGACCGCAACAACUUUUCUGAACCAGGCAAGUUACACUUAUUGAUCAUGUAGUACCUAUAUUUUUGCUUAUGCUAUUUUGUUUACAACAUCAUAGGGAUGCAUGUUAGAGUUACUUUUAUAUGAAGUAUGUUUAAAUGCGUUUGCAACAUGUUUAGUUAUUCCUAGUAGAUUGCUUAUAGGAUUUUAUUACCAUGCCACCAAAUACCAUAGAUUAUGUAUUUACAUUUUUCCAAAGCAUUCUAUACUAUUAUAACGGGACGGGACCCAAACUAUAUUGAAAAGUAUUAAGUGCUCUUUAUGAGCGAGUAUGUUUUUGGAAAAAUGUUUUCGAAAUAAGAACAAAAUGUAAAACCAGCAAGUCAAUCAGGGCAACAAUGCAAACAGUGGAGCUAAUGACAGGGUUUCCAUCAAGGAGUUUCUUGCUCUCAAUCCAAGGACUUUCUCUCUACCUUCAGAACCACUUGAUGCUGAUGACUGGCUUCGUGAGAUGGUUUGCGCUCUUUAAACGGCUCGUGUGGCAAAUGAGGACAAGGUUCCUUUUGCGAGCUACCUCCUCCGAGGUGAAGCAGCCGCAUGGUGGGAGAAUUUCCAAGCCUCCAAGCACCCUGAUGAAGUCAUCACUUGGUUUGACUUCCAGGACGCUUUCCUAAAGCACCACAUCCCAGCUGGUCUGAUGGACAGAAAGCGUGAGGAAUUCUGCAGUCUGACUCAGGGCAAGAGUUCUGUUCUGGAAUACUGCAAGGAUUUCAACCGUCUUGCUCGCUAUGCUGGCGAUGAGAUCUCUACUGACUUGAAGAAACAAGAAAGGUUUCGUAAGGGUCUGAAUCCGUCGGUGAAGUAUGCUCUCAAUCUCAUUAGGUGCAAUUCUUUUGAAGACUUGGUCAAUACUGCUCUGCAAGCUAAACAUGGCCGUGCACAGUUUGAGGAUUCUCGCAAAUACUCUCGUGAUACUGGGUCUUCUUCCUCAGGCAAUAACAAUGCUGGUUCUCAAAAACGGAGGUUGUGGGUUCCCAACAACGCAACUGUCCGUCCAGCAUAUGGUCAGAGGAAUGGUGGUCAAGGUUCCCGCCCACCCUCCCAGGCUGUCUCUCUCAAGAGCUACAAUGGGCAGCAAAGACCUCAAAUCAGAACAGUGACACCAGAGUCUGUUACAAGUGCAAACAGCCAGGCCACAUUGCUACACACUGCCCUAUGAAUCAGAUUCAGGCAGCACCUCGCCCUCCUCCAAGCCAGGCGAUGGUUCCAGCUCAGGGUAAUCAGCAAAGGCCUUAUGACAACAACAAGUCCAAUGCCAACCGUGCCCGUGUCAAUCAUGUCAAUGCUGAGCAAGCAGAGGAAGCUACCGACGUUGUCAUCGGUAAUUUGCAUGUUAAUUCUGUUCUUGCUAAAGUAUUAUUUGACACUGGAGAGUCGCAUUCUUUCGUUUCGCACUCCUUUGCACAAGCAAUUGACUUGCAACAUGACACUUUGCUUACCCCUGUUCUAAUCCAAACCCCUGGGUCCCGGUCUAGGACAACUAGGAUAAGUUGUGGCACACGAAUCCAAAUCGGCAGUCUUGUCUUCUUCCCGACCUCCUAGCCCUCGGUCCCUCUGACAUUGAUGUCAUUCUAGGGAUGGAUUGGCUCAAACCUCAUCAAGCUUUGAUAGACUGUGCUGCUAAGUCUGUCAUUCUAACACAUCCCACUGGCCAGAUAGUCACUUUCCACUCUUCUAAGGCCACAAACACCUAGCUCUACUCUCUAGACGCAAAGCCACUUCCCACUUUGGAAUCGGUUAAGGUGGUUUGCGAAUUCCCGGAUGUUUUUCCUGAAGACUUACCAGGCAUGCCUCCUGACAGAGCGGUUGAGUUUGUGAUCGAACUCGAACCAGGAAUUGCUCCUGUUCAUAGGCGUCCAUACAAGAUGUCUCCACCCAAGUUGGCAGAACUCAAAAGACAACUUGAAGACUUGGAGAAGAAAGGAUACAUCCGUCCAAGCUCCUCUCCUUGGGGUUGUCUGAUGCGGGUGCGGGUGGCCCGAUCUUUCGAUGAGAUUGGUAACUCUCGAUUUGGGUAGGAGGUGACGUUGACGAUCCGACUACGGCCUAGGAGGCAGCGCCUUAGCAAUCGAUACACCAACUCCAAAGGGUUAUUGAUCACGCGGGGGCACGAUCAACCUGACCACGAAGGUCUUUGUUCCUGCAAGCAAUCGAAGAACAAGCAAGAACAAGAUAAAUAGAGGAUGCAAUCUAAAAUUGCGAAUAUACUAUAUCAAACCAAUGUCUCAACGAGACGAUAAGUUGGGGUUCCGAAAGCGGUAAAACAGGUGGUCUAACCGACACACGCGAUUACACGAAGUAGUAGCGAUGGCUAACUUUUAACUAAACAAAACCCAAGGCUCCUUAGGGGGGCUCAUGGGGUAUAUAAAGGAGGAGGGAGAGAUAUUUUCGUCCACCUUGAAUAAGGAGUCCGAAAUCCAACUCUAUCUCUAACUUUCCUAACAAACUACAACUCUUUAGGAAACAGAAAAACAGAUCCGUCAGCUUGUUUUGUCCGUCACGGUCAGCACGAGUCCAAUCUCUUGAUGGGGCCAGAUCCGUUGGAAAGGUCUUGUAAUUACCUUUCCAACAAGUACUUGUUUGCUUGAUUUGGACUCAGGAUGCGGCCUGGGUGAUUAAAACAAAUUCAGGUCUCCUGGCAGCUCGAACCCGAAUCGGAUUCAACUUUAAUUCGUGAUAUCUUUCUCUACCAAGCUCCGAAUCAUGUGCCGUUUGAUUUGUUGGAAAGUACACUUGAAAUCCUUCCCUCUCAGCUGUAUGAAUGCUUGAUUCUUGUUGGCCCUCCCGUUCGCCUCCACCGUAUCUCAUCUUGACCUUGGAUUUGAAAAGCUCGACAAGAUGCCUAUGUAAUAAAACGAGACAAGAUAGUAGUAGCUCCGCCUCUUCAUAAGUAUGACAAUGAAAGCAAUUACUACUUGAAUUCACCUGAUUAUAAAUCUUGUCAAAUAUUAUAGAAUUGAGGGUACCAAAGGUCGUAUCCAUGGUUAGCAUGUCCAUAUCAUCCUCCCUUUCUUGAAAGGAAAGCCGUCCUCAGCGUCGUUUAUGCUGAAAAUAUGCUAACAAAAAAGACAAGGUAUGCGCAUGGUAUAUGUAUAUAUCGUUAUUUUCAACUCCACUCCCAUGUUGCACAAUUAAUGUUUUAUAACACAAUCUCAUGAGAUAAUUAGUCACACAAUCAUCAUGAAUAUCAUUCCAGCAAGAAGAUUGACAAUAUGUUUUGCAUAUAUAAGUGAAACAAUAUCUUGUAUUUGGUUUGCACCGCUCACCAUUAUACCAUCCCAACACUGGAGAAUAAUAAUUAAUAAUGUUACCCAAAUUAGUUACUACAAGAUGCUGAAAUUUAGAGCAUGUCAAAGCACUAAUAUUCGAACAAUCGUGUAAAGAACUAAUUGGCAAAUAAUCAACACCAAUAUUGGAGGUCAUAUCAAAAUGGUUAAGCAUAUGCAACAUAUUAUUUUCUCUCAAAUCAAGAAAGUUAUCACAAGCAAUGCAAAUCUGAUGCACCCAAAAUUUAUUGUUCACGUCAUGUUCUCCAAUUAAUUGAAUAGUGUAUCCAUGGGCAUUAGCAAAAGAUUUUGAAAUUGUUAACUCAGAACCUUUAUCCCUUGCAUGUGACAAAUAUAUAGGUGCAUCAAGUGUAAUAGAACACAAAGAAUUAUUAGGCGGAACCAUAGGAAACACUUCUUCAUGUUUAAUUAAUUCAAUGCAACAUAAAUCAAAUUUAAUCAUCGCGUCACAAGUCUGUUCCAAAACAGCAGGUAACUCAUCACAUAAAUCAUUAUCAUUUGAAUCAAUGGGUGCGCUCAAAUCGGCAAGUAAAUCAACAGUUUUACAAGGGGCAGCAUGGUCAUCACAUAUCUCAUUUAUUUCAACACACGUCAUAUUUAGUUCAGCAACACAAACCUCUGUAACAUUACCUUGUGGGCUCAACACGUUUCUUGUACACCUUCUCUCCAAUUUCCUCUCCGCUUCACGAGCAAGAUUAAGCAAACACAAUAGAGAGUCGUAUUUUCCGUAUUCAAUUAUGUAAGAAAUAUCAAAGUUAAGCCCACAAUAAAACCUAUCCAUUUUUCUUUGUUCGGUUUCAUCUAAACCAGAUCGCAAGGUUAAAAUUUGGAACUCAUGGUAGUAAUCAUCAACAGUUUUAUCAUCUUGUGUCAAACGUCGUAAUUUGGAACGCAACUCAUAAGCAUAACUUGGAGGAACAUAUUUUUCUCUCAUGAUUUUCUUCAUAUCAAUCCAAGUGUGAGGUAUUUUGUUUUCUCUAACUAUCUCACACCACCAUGAUAAUGCAUCAAAACGAAAUUUACUACUAGAAAUUUGGACCUUACGACUAUCUAGUACAUGGAAGCAUGUGAAUUGUUCAAUUAAAGCUAGCUCCCAAUCUAUAUACGUUUCAGCAUCAUUUCCCCCCUCAAAGAAAGGUAAUUUAAUUGUAUUAGAAGGAUUGUUUUGUACCGUUGCCAUGGCAUUAUCAACAAGAGGCGUCGAGGAUGACCGUUGUGAAAAGCACUCAUCGCGGUCACGGGAUAGCAUCGGUCUAGUUGCCAUGCUUCGUGUAAGUCCUGUCAUGGUUAGUAGAAAACAAGAAACAAAUCACAGUAAUAUGUUCCUAUCAACUACUAGGAUGUGGCUACAAGUCGCUCAACUCUCAAGCUAAAAAUCAAGUUCUUACAAGUUCUUACAAGUUCUUACCAUGCAAAACAGGAAGGUGAUGGCCAGCGGCGUAACCAACACCUCCGGAGAUUAAAUGUAUCGAUGCCUCAGUAACAAACCAACCUAGGUGUAGAAUCUGUGGAGCUUGGAGGCUUUUGUGAGUAGCAAGGAAUAGCAAAUAAUCAAAUCAGCAAUGCAAAGUUGAAAAUAUGCUCAAUAAUGCUAGUCCUAGCUGCUGGAGUCGACAAGAACGAAUUACAGAAAUUAACUAAGCCUAGAUACUGAAAAAAGUAGAAAGGAAAGAUCAAAUGAAAGGUAAAACAAGUAAAUCUCUAGGGAAUAUUUUUUUUCUCUUUUUUUUUCUUUUUUUUUUGGCCUUCUGUUUGGCUUCUUAUUCUUUUCUAUUUUUUUUUCUUUUUUUUUAUCCCCAGAAACUCACGCAAAAGAAGUUAAGACCGGAAAGCUGCACGUCGGUCUGUAGGAGAAUAGCAAAGACUGUAGUAAGGAAAACUCAGAAAAAUAUGAGAAAAUAUGGGUUAGAAGCGUAUCAAAAAAAGCUUUCCAACAAGUGCAAGAUCACUCGAAACGGAGGUCGGACGGUGGAGAAAACUGAGAUAUACUGCGCUGCCCCGGUGCCGUAAAACGGGUGCAGAAAUUUGGAGCUCGAAAAGUCCACCUUAGAGGCCGAAUUUUAGGGUCAAAGUGCAGGGCUGUGCCCUGGAUAUUUCCUGAUGCGCUUCGUCGUGAGCUUUCCAAAAAGUCCAAGAACGUCCAAAUCCGAGUUGGUAUGCAAAAGAUACGUCCGUUUUACUGAACACGGGUCAAACCCACCCGAAACUAAAAUUCUACUCGGACUCGGGUCCGAAACUGACUCGAACUCUUUCUCUUUCUUUUUUUCGUUUUUUUUUCUUUCUUUCUUCCUUUUUUUUUUCUUUCCCUUUUUUUUGCACAACUUUCCAAACAACUUGAUCUCUAAACAAAAUUCGAUCUAUUAUGAAACACUUUCCAAAAGCACUCUUGAUUGGACUCGGACUCGAACUCGCGGCUAAAAACUAUAACUUUCCGACUCGAUGUAGGACUCGAAGAGGGACUUGGUGUAGGACUGGAAGAAGGACUCGGUGUAGGACUUGAAGAGGGACUGGGUGUAGGACUCGAAGAGGGACUCGGUGGAAGAUAUGGUGGAGGCGGGAGAUUAUGGUAGUGGUGUGGCUCUGAUACCACGUGAUGCGGGUGCGGGUGGCCCGAUCUUUCGAUGAGAUUGGUAACUCUCGAUUUGGGUAGGAGGUGACGUUGACGAUCCGACUACGGCCUAGGAGGCAGCGCCUUACCAAUCGAUACACCAACUCCAAAGGGUUAUUGAUCACGCGGGGACACGAUCAACCUGACCACGAAGGUCUUUGUUCCUGCAAGCAAUCGAAGAACAAGCAAGAACAAGAUAAAUAGAGGAUGCAAUCUAAAAUUGCGAAUAUACUAUAUCAAACCAAUGUCUCAACGAGACGAUAAGUUGGGGUUCCGAAAGCGGUAAAACAGGUGGUCUAACCGACACACGCGAUUACACGAAGUAGUAGCGAUGGCUAACUUUUAACUAAACAAAACCCAAGGCUCUUUAGGGGGGCUCAUGGGGUAUAUAAAGGAGGAGGGAGAGAUAUUUUCGUCCACCUUGAAUAAGGAGUCCGAAAUCCAACUCUAUCUCUAACUUUCCUAACAAACUACAACUCUUUAGGAAACAGAAAAACAGAUCCGUCAGCUUGUUUUGUCUGUCACGGUCAGCACGAGUCCAAUCUCUUGAUGGGGCCAGAUCCGUUGGAAAGGUCUUGUAAUUACCUUUCCAACAAGUACUUGUUUGCUUGAUUUGGACUCAGGAUGCGGCCUGGGUGAUUAAAACAAAUUCAGGUCUCCUGGCAGCUCGGAUCCGAAUCGGAUUCAACUUUAAUUCGUGAUAUCUUUCUCUAGCAAGCUCCGAAUCAUGUGCCGUUUGAUUUGUUGGAAAGUACACUUGAAAUCCUUCCCUCUCAGCUGUAUGAAUGCUUGAUUCUUGUUGGCCCUCCCGUUCGCCUCCACCGUAUCUCAUCUUGACCUUGGAUUUGAAAAGCUCGACAAGAUGCCUAUGUAAUAAAACGAGACAAGAUCGUAGUAGCUCCGCCUCUUCAUAAGUAUGACAAUGAAAGCAAUUACUACUUGAAUUCACCUGAUUAUAAAUCUUGUCAAAUAUUAUAGAAUUGAGGGUACCAAAGGUCGUAUCCAUGGUUAGCAUGUCCAUAUCAUUGUCCCACUCUGUUUGUGCAGAAGAAGGACAAAACCGAACGUCUGUGUGUUGAUUACCGUCCUCUUAAUCAACAUACAAUCAAGAACAAAUACCCACUUCCUAGGAUCAACGAUCUGUUUGACCAACUUGCCGGAGCCGCAGUUUUCUCAAAACUUGAUCUACGUUUAGGGUAUCAUCAAAUCAAAAUCCGGAAGGAGGACAUUCCAAAGACCGCUUUCACAACUCGUUAUGGUCUUUACGAGUACACUGUCAUGUCUUUUGGCCUCACCAAUGCUCCAGCUACCUUCUCUCGUCUGAUGAAUUCUAUUUUCAUGGAAUAUCUGGACAAGUUCGUUAUGGUCUACUUGGAUGACAUUCUUGUCUAUUCUAAAUCCGAGGAAGAACAUGAAGGACAUCUUUGUCUCAUCCUUUCCAAACUUCGUGAAAAUCGACUCAAUGCUAAGUUCUCCAAGUGCGAGUUCUGGCUUCCACAAGUCAAUUAUCUUGGUCACGUCAUCUCAGCAAAGGGAAUUGCUGUCAAUCCGGAGCGAAUUCAGGACAUUGUCGGGUGGUCUCAACCCAAAAGUGCAAAGUAAAUCCAGAGUUUCCUUGGUUUGGCAAGUUAUUGCCGACGUUUCGUCCCCAAUUUCUCCAAAAUUGCCAAGCCUUUGACCGACCUUCUCAAGAACGACAAUAAGUUUGUUUGGACCUCUCAGUGCGAAGAGGGCUUUAAACUUUUGAAGGAAAACUCGCUACACCUCCUAUUUUGGCUCCUCCAGAUACUACACAACCUUUCCAAAUCUAUGGCGAUGCAUCUCGGCAAGGUUUAGGCGCUAUCCUUUUCCAAGAUGGGAAAGUUGUGGCAUAUGCGUCUCGCCAACUUCGUCCAAAUGAACUCAACUAUCCCACGCAUGAUCUUGAACUCGCUGCAGUUGUUUUUGCAAUCAAACAAUGGCGGCAUUAUCUUGCGGGUGUACCUUGUGAGAUCUUUACAGAUCAUAAGAGCCUCAAGUACAUCUUCACCCAGCUUGAUCUCAAUCUUAGACAGCGACGAUGGAUGGAGUUGAUCUCAGAAUACAAUCUGUCGAUUAAUUACACACCAGGCAAAGCUAAUGUUAUGGCUGAUGCCCUUAGUCGCAAAUCUGAUUGCAACUCUCUCACAGUCUCGGAAUUAUCUCCUGAUCUUUGAGAGGACUUCAAGAAUCUUAACCUUGAGCUUGUUCCAAAAGGUUAUCUUGCAAAUCUGGUCGUUACUUCUGUUUCAUCUUUGGAAGACAGAAUUCGAAAAGCUCAGCUGCUUGAUGAUUUGGUCAAAAAGGUUUCUGAUCAGAUAAAAGCUAAAGAUCCCAAAGCUAAGAGAUUCUCACUUGAUGACAAAGGAACUGCGUUCUUUGAUGAUCGCAUGGUUGUUCCUAAUAAUCAAGACAUAAGAGAGUCUAUUCUCCAAGAAGCCCAUGACACACCUCUUGCUAUCCAUCCCGGUUCUACCAAGAUGUAUCAAGACAUCAGAAAGAGCUAUUGGUGGACUGGAAUGAAAGAGCACAUUGCUAGAUAUGUGUCUGAAUGUGAUGUAUGUCGCCAUGUUAAGGCAGAGCACCAGAAGCCUGCUGGUCUUCUUCAACCUCUGAGUGUUCCAACAUGGAAAUGGGAGAAGAUAGAAAUGGACUUCAUCACUGGGUUUCCAAAAUCUCGCAAGGGUAAUGAUGCAAUCUUUGUGGUGAUUGAUCGACUGUCUAAGGUCGCUCACUUCUUGCCUGUCAAAGAAACAAUCUCAGCUAGUCAAUUGGCCGAAUUGUACACUUCCAGAAUUGUCUCUCUCCAUGGUGUCCCAGUUGAAAUAAGCUCCGAUCAUGGAAGUAUCUUUACAUCCAGAUUUUGUGAAAGCUUUCAGAAGGCAAUGGGCACUAAUCUCCUUUUCAACACCGCUUAUCAUCCUCAGACUAGCGGUCAAGUUGAAAGGGUAAAUCAGGUCCUUGAAGACAUGCUUCGAGCUUGUGUCAUAUCUUUUGGUAUGAAAUGGGAGGAAUCUCUGCCGUUUGCGGAGUUCUCUUACAACAACAGCUAUCAAGCAAGUCUGGGCAUGGCGCCAUUCACUUUCCUCUAUGGUCGCAAAUGUCGCACUCCCUUGAACUGGACCGAGGCAGGUGAACGUCAACUCUUCGGGCCAGAUUUGAUUCAAGAAGCUGAGGAUCAAUGCCGUAUCAUUCGGGAAAAUUUAUUAGCGGCUCAAUCCCAUCAGAAGAGCUACUAUGAUAACAAACACCAAGAGGUGGUGUAUGCUCCCGGUGAUCAGGCGUAUCUUCGUGUCACUCCGAUGCGAGGUACACAUCGUUUCAAUGUGAAAGGCAAGCUUGCGCCUCGUUACAUUGGCCCCUUCAAGGUGAUCGCAAAGCAAGGCGAGGUAGUUUAUCGCCUCCAGCUUCCUCCAAAUCUCACCAAGGUCCAUCCUGUGUUCCAUGUUUCCCAACUCAAACGUUGUUUUCAAGGAUCCUGGUUGUGCGGUCGACCAUGAGACCAUCGAGAUACGCGAAGAUCUCACUUACAACGAGUGUCCAGUUCGCGUUCUCGAUGUGAAGGAACGUCGCACUCGCAACAAAACUCACAAAUUCUACAAGAUCCUUUGGUCUCAUCACUUUGACAAAGAAGCAACGUGGGAACGUGAAGAUCAGUUGCGCAAGGACUAUCCUACCUUUCUUGCGGAUCCCUGAGAAUCUUGGGACAUGAUUCCUUUUAGUGGGGGAGAAUUGUCACAGCCCGAGAGCAACUUUUACAUUUAAGCCCUUGUUUGGACCUGUUUGUAAUUUAUUCAAAUGCUGCAUGACAAUUACAUUUGCAUCCAUGCCAUGCCAUGUCUGUUGUUUGUGUCACAUGAGUUUUAAAUUUGCAUCUCAAAUUGUGGUUUGAAUUCUUGUUGUGUAUUUUUGUUAGAAGAUUCAAAUAUGAAUCACCCUCCUUUGAGUUUGAAUUCUUUUCCCUCUAUUUUUUCAAAUGAGAUUCAAAUGGGUUUUGCUUUAAACCUUAAACCCCAUUUGAAUAUUUCCAAAUACUAGUACCAUAUUUGAAUUCUACUACUUCUCAGCUUUUCAAUAUGGUAUUUGAAAUUUGAGUCCAAAAGCAUUUGCAAAAGCAGAAAAUAGAAAAGGGAAAAAGAAAAAAUCCAAACCUUACCUGCUCACUUGGCCCGAGCCGGCCCAGCCGCCUCGGCCCGCCGUCCUCCCGCGUGCGCGAGCAAGCCGCCUGGUGACACAGGUCUCGCGGCCCGCUUCCCCACGCCGCCCCGCAGCCCAGAUCGGCCCAGCCGCCCAGCAUUCUUCUGUGCGCGCCCGCUUCCCGUCCCCCCGCAGCGAAAGCGUAAAAUCCCGGAAUGCGCUUUGUCUCACAGCUCUCUCUUCUACCUCUGCUUUUCUUCCUUCCGACCAGUGAGCCCCCCCGGCCACGUCCUCUUCGACAGCGACAGCCACGCCUCCCCCUCGCCUACUUAAGCCACGCCGCACCUCCUCCUACCCGCGCCGCCUCUAGGAAACCCUAGUUAGGGUUUUCUCCUUCCCCUUCUGCGCAGCGCCGUCGCCCCGCUCCUUCGGUCGUGGACGCCACCGCGUCGCGCCACCGUCUCCGGCUGAACAGCGGCAAGCCGACCGCGUCACCCGAACCGCGUCAAGUCGCCUGCUUCGUCUACAUGCGAGGAAUUGGACGGAGGGCACCUACAUCAACGCCUAGGUCAUCUUCCCCAUCUUCGGCUGUCGCCUCUUCUCCGACAAAUUCCGGCGAGGUCGUCGACUCUUUCCUCGUCCACUUCCUCUUGAAGAUCGGGGGUGAGAUGUUCUUCCUCCUGCCUCUUUCCACACCGCUUUUGAUGCACCGUAGCGCCGUAGCCGCAAGCGCGCGCCGGCGAGCUUCGGCUCGUCGCCGCGCCGUCGUCUCCUUAAGGAUGCUGUGAUGGCCUUCGUGCCAUCUGGACUCUCUCCGGGUGCCGCUUCCGUUUUCCUUGUUAGGGAGCCCCUACGCCGCUAGCUUGGUCACCGCAUCCAUGCUCGUCGUGGGCGCCGCCCGUGCUCCCAAGCCGCUCUUUUGGGCUGAGUUAACAUGGCUUGCGCCCUGGAUCUUGUAAGAUCCGAACCGCAACUGUCAUCGCACGAUGCUCCGACACCGGGGGUGUGCGGUCACGGCCCCCUUUUAGGUUCGGCAGGGGCGUCGGGGUUCGCCCCGGCGAUAGACGGCUCGGCCGAUGGGCCCUACGAAGCCGGCGGAAUGACGUACUAGAACUGCGUGCUAAUCAAAGAACACAUGCACACACUUUUUUACCCAGGUUCGGACCAUCCGGAGAUGUAAACCCUACGUCCUGCUUGUCUGAGCUGGUAUUGAUUGCAGAUCAAGUGUUUAGACCUUACUGGGGGAAGGUCCUCGGGCUCUCUCUCUCUCUUCCCUUGCGUACGCUACCUGCUACUCAGAGCUAAACAAACUUGCGAACGUGGAGCCUCUGAUCGGAACUGGAACCCACCGGAACCCCAACCCAGCAGAACUUGAACCCUUCUACCGCUGGCGAGGGUCCCCCUUUUAUACUCAAGAGGAUGGCACAGGUGCCACGGUGCAUGGGCUACAAAUGUCGAGCGGGGAGGCACACAACUCCCCCUCGGUGAGCUGGUGGCAUGCAUGGACGCCACCUCCGCCGCUAGGGGUCUAAAACCCUAGAGUAGGAUUGGACAGCCACUGUGCACUUGACUUGGAUGGGUAACGCCCCUCCUGUCGGCUCAUUUAAUAAGCCGCACGCCUUACUCCUUGCUCCGGUGGGGCCACGCACCCCACGCCCGCCACGCGCCCGCGUGGCGCUGUUGAUCUGCUCACUGGGCCCCACCCUUGAAGCGGGGGCAUGCGCCCAGGAACCCCCUGUCCCGGCAAGUCGCUCCCCGGGAAGCGCCCGGGCCCAACGCACCCGGGACCUCCCCCAGGGAAGCGGCUUCCCGGGAGGUGCCCAAGCGGGAAUAUUCCCUGAAGCCCCGCUAGGCCCUUCUGGGCUGGUAGCUUACCGGGCUGCUCGUAGCCGCUGCCUGGGAUGGAACCUUCCCAGGAACUCGGGGACAGGGCCCACGCGUCGCGCAGCGGUGGUACCCCGAGUGCCACGGGUGCGACAGUAGCCCCCGGGCGUGGGCCGGCAUCAACUGUUCCCGGAUGAGUCUUCCCCAGGUCGGUUGCCGGGCUACGCCCUCAACCGACGUGUGGGCCCCGAUUUGCCGCGAGCCUGCGUCCCUUCGCUACCUCGUGUACAGCGCCGUUACAGACGGAGUAGUGGGUGUGCGAUUUCCGCCCUACCUCCCCCCCUAAAUAGGGAAGUUAAGGCCACUCCGUGCAUUACUCCUAAUGAUUAGGAGUUAUCCCCGCGCACCCGUAGGGUACGGAACCGGCCGUUACCAAAUGGCAGGUGUUAUAAGGCGCUUACUGUUGACAAAAGGGGAAAAACACUCUGUCCCCAUAGCCUUUGUCUUCAUCCCCUUCCGCAUCUCGCAUUCCAGCGCUCCUGCCCGCUUUCGCCCUCACUCCCCAUGGCGCCCCCCACCACCAGAAAGGGAAAAGAGGUCCAGGGCUCAAAGAAAGCCGCGGCCGGCAAGAGCGAGGCGGCAACCAAGGCAGCUGCCGCCAAGGACCAGAAGAAGCGGGAGAUGCGGGCUACGCUCGCCUUCUACCGCCCAAGGUACAACGGCGAGGCGCUGGAGAAGGUCCGGCAUGCCGUCGCCUCCAACUUCAAUGAGCACAGGGAGAUGCUGAUCUUCCCGGCGGGUGUCGAGCACUAGGAUAAGGACUUCUGGGUGUUCGCGCGCUUUCUCCUUACCGGCCUGGUGCCGCCCUUCUCGCUGUUCCUCCAUGCGCUGAUGGAGUCUUACCAGCUGUGGGUGGCGCAGCUCCACCCCACGUCGCUGUUCCUCCUCGCCACCUUCCAGUUCCUCUGCGAGGCGUUCGUGGGGGUGAUGCCGUCGGUGGGGCUCUUCCGCCACUACUUCUACCCCCGCAUUGACAACGCGAAGGCGAUGUCAUCGGGGGUGGUGUUCCGCGCCCGCGACCAGAUGAAGUCCGAGUUCAUCGUCCGGUCUGGGAAGAAGAUCGAAAAGGAGUGGCGGAGCGAUUGGUGUUGGGUCCGAGUGGAGGACCCCCAAGAGUUCAUCCAGUCGCCGACGGAGUUGCCGCAACCCCAAAAUGGCUGGCAGGACAGGUACCACCGCGACGCUGACGUCCUCCCCAUUGUGGAGAAGAUUAAGGCGCUGCGGCUGGCGGGGCUCACCGACGUGGACGUGGCGCGCACCUUCGUCCACCGGCGCAUAUCCCCGCUGUAGCUAAGCUCCUGGCCCGCGUGAAUGUACACAGGUCCCAGGGACAGGACACGCCUCCAACAGGACGGCGUGGACUUGGAGACCCUCAGCACGUGGGUGAGGGGGAUCUCCGGCGAGACCUUCCCAUCAACGGAGUUCCCGCCGGGGGUUUCCUCUCUUCAUGCCGGCGUUGCGGCGCCCAGCGACAUCGUUGGCGCCUUCCCGCCUUGCAACGAGUGGGGGUUGAUGGACGACACCCCCACCCGGGUCCCGCACGCUCCCCUGCAAGCACCCCACGAGAAGCACGUGCUCGAGGAGUGCGGGGGCGGAUCCGAGCCCAGCUGGCCCUCCCUCCAGUCGCUGGACGACGAGGCGGGCCAGGCAGUUGUGUUCCCGGAGGUCGUCCUCAUGGACGACGACGACGAAAGCAGCGACAGCGCGGCCCUGAUCGUGAGGAGAUCAAGGGCGUUUGCAGCAGCCGCCGCUAUCUCCUCAACAGCGCCUUCGCCCCGACAGCGACCACCAACCUUGCGGCGGCGGCCGCUUCAGGGGCGCCCGUCGGUACCUUGAUGGCAUCCGCGGCCACAGGGGUCGCCGGUGCCUCACCGGCAGCCGCCCGCACCAUGGCGGUAGCUGCUCUCGGGGCGCCCGCCGGCACCCCGGCAGCGCCCGCGUCCGCAGGGGUCGCCGGAGUCUCGGCAACGGUCUUCGCCCCAGUAGCGGGAGCCUCCCCAAGGUUGGUUCCCGGCACUGCGACGGGAUCACCGUCAACACCCGGGACACUCCGGGUCGCGACGACCUCGCGAAUAGGCGCCGCCUGCUCGGGGGGUAUUCCGGGGCUUUGCGCUCCGGCGUAACCCCCUGAAGUCCAACUCGCCGGCGAGUGCCGCCAAGAGGGCGAGGAGCGAUUCCCCACCCGACACGCCGAGCAAGAGGGCGCGCGCAGACGCCAGCGUCGCUGCCGAUCCCACCGCCGCAGGGGUCGGCUGCGACGCGAUCGCGCCCGAUGACGGCCCAGCCCCCACGGAGGCAGGGCCGGCAACCGGUAUGUCUUCUUCACUUCUCCGCAGCUGCAUUUUUUCAGUUGUUAGUCAAACUCAUGAAUGUACCUCUUUCUGCAGUGGGCGCCAACUCGCCCGCGGCAAGCCUCUUGGAGGCUCCCGCCGGCGCAGGUGAGGCAGGAGAGGCUCAACCCGCAAGCCCGACAGCCGCGCAAGGUAACCAUCCUGGUCACCCUUCAUCUUCACUUUGGACUUGUAAAGUUCAAUAAGAUGCCUACAUAAUAAGAUUACACAAGAUAGUAGCUCCGCCUCUUUGCAAGUAACAUAUUGAAAACAUUUUGUAAUUGAUUCGCCUGAUUAUAAUCAUUAGAGACACCAACAAUUAGUAGCUCCGCCUCUUUGCAAGUAACAUAUCCAUGGUUAGCAUGUCCAUAUCAGACUUGAAGCGGAUUCGCUUCUUCUCUGGAGUUGUGAGUGUAAUAGUCCUCUUGACACAAUCUAUAAGUCCUUCAUACUUGGCUAACCAAUCCAUUCCUACGAUCACAUCCAAGCUUUUUGAUCCUAACACUAUCAGGUCUGUGGGGAAAUUGUGUUUUCCAAUUUCUAGUGUCAGCAUUCGGCAUUCACAAGCUGUUAUCAUCUCUCCCCCAGGUGACUUCACCUUCAUAGGGUUCACUAAGGUACCAGUGGUUAAUCCAUUCUCAUGCAGAAAACUCCUUGAGAUAAACGAAUGCGAUGCACCGGUAUCAAAUAGUACGAGUGCUUCAAAAGAAUUUAGACGGAAGGUGCCGAUUACGAUACCUUACUCCUCCGUGAUUUCUUCCACACGCCCUUCUAAAAUGGGUUAGGCUUUGCUCCAGCCUCAUUGAACUUCUCCGGACAAUCAUUGGAGUAGUACCCCAUCUUGUGACACUUAAAGCAUUGCACUUGGCUCAUAACCAUGCCAGUGGUGCGGUUCUGUCCUGGGUUUCCUCCAUUGUUAUGGCCACUGCCCUUGUUGUUGUUGAUCCUUGGGUGCUGGUGCUGGUGUUGGUGGUUCCGGCUGCCAUUUCCUCCCUGGUGGUGGUGGUGUUCUUGAUUUCCAUGGCGGUGAUGGUGUCCACUCCCUCCAUGGUGACUCUGAUGAUUUCCACCAUGCUUAACCAUCGAAGAGUUGCCACUACCUUCGUACGAGGUGCGCGGCUUCUGAUGUGGACCAGAGUGGUUAUUGCCAUGGUGAGGCCUCUUCCUCCUGUUUUCCAUCUGAUUCUGCUUGUUCUCCAGAAUGAUGGCUUUGUCCAUGAGAGACUGGUAUGUAGGGAUGUAAACAAUUACCAGUUGAACGGCGAGUUCGUUGUUCAAACCAUCCAAAAACCUUUCCCGGCAUUUUGCAUCAGUGUUGACGUCGUCUGGGGCAUAGCGCGACAACUUGUUGAAAGCUUCGAUGUACUCUGACACGGUCUUGUUCUCUUGCCUUAGCUUGUGAAAUUUCCUCUUCUUUAACCUCAGCACGCCUUCAGAGAUGUGGGCGGUGCGGAAGGCAUCUUGGAACAUUUCCCAUGUUACCUCUUCCAUGGGUGUAGUAAUCUGAUAAGUCUCCCACCAAGCUGCGGCAGGUCCUUCAAGCAGGUGAGCGGCAAACCUCACCUUAUCAGCUUCAUUGCAGCCAACUGUCACUAGGCACUUGCUCACGGAACGGAGCCAAUCAUCAGCUACAAUCGGUUCUGGGGAGCUGGUGAAUGUCGGUGGACGCAGCCUCAGAAACCUGGUUAACAAGUCCACUUGAGGUGGUGGGUUGGGGUUCUGGUUGUUGUGGUUGUUGUUGUUGUUGUUGUUCAUCUGCUGGGUCAAAUCUUGCAAAAUCUGAGUCUGUGCAGCCAGUAGUUGCUGCAUAGUGGCGGCGUUGUUGUCCUGACCCUCCUCAUUGUUGUCAGCAUUCCGGCGAGUUUCACGUCUCGGCGGCAUCUGUUUUGGGACAGCAUAUAUGAGAAACAGAUAGACAGGGUCUAAGGGAAACUAAGCCCCACAAGACUGGCAAUACAACAGUUCAAACAACAAGCAUAACACAAGCAUGACAAUUCAAUCAUGAAACAAGUCAUCUAUAAAAUAGGCAAAAGCAUUCACUAGGAUUUUAACAUCCAAAACGAAUAGUUCACAAGGCGUACCAGCCCAAAACACAAGUGAAAAGCUACAAGUAAAAACACAAAUCUACAUUGCCAUACCACAACGACGGCAUGGUCAAUGACUAACACGAUAACGAAUAUAGUAUAAUAAAUAGUCCAGCGGCUCUAAGCUGAUACUAAGGAAGUGAAAGGAAGUUGGUGUUCCCAGAGUUCUUUGCCCUAGAACGGGUGCGGGUGGGAGGUGUGUCCAUCUCCUGCGCCUCCCGAGGUUCCUCCUCCUGUGGCUCCAUCUCCUCGUCCUGAGGGGGUGGUGGAGCUUGUGCUGGUGUAGGGUUGACGUUGUUGACCUGGGCUUGGAGUUGAUCAUACUGAAGUUGCAGGAGAUCCUUCUCGUACAUAAUCUGCUCCAUGAUCUCAUGCAUGUUCAGGAUAACAUCUCCCCUGCAGUUCACCUCGUUUGUCUUCAGCGCCAGUUGACCUUGGAGUAUCCCCACCUGGUCUUCAGCUAUGUCCGCUCGGGUCAUCUCGUUGUAGAGACUCUUCCCCAUGUCCACCAUGUUCUGCUCCAGAGCUUGAAACUGAACAUCCUCCGUGUGCGCAUCCUCGCCUAGGAUCUCCAGUCCCACGGCAUUCCCGCCAACAACUCGCCUUCCGAAGCUACGAAAGACAGAGUCCGGAGGCAGUUCAUCGUGGUACGCCUCGCACACACGAGCUAUCGCAUGUUGCAUGGCGAACUGGAGUCCCAGCAAGAAGUCGGGGUAGCGCACGGAGUAGGUGAUGUCGGGCGUCAAUGGAACAACAGUCCGUCCUUUGAUCUCCGUGUCGAUCUCCCAGCGGCGUGCACCUCCCUGGGAUCCCACCGGCUCAGCACGUCCUCGGAAAUAGGGUGCUGCCAGGUGCAGUGUCGUGCACAAAGUAGCAAGCUGCCUCCCAAACGGGAUGUCGUCGUCAACUGUCGGGUAAUGGACGUGUGUGAAAGGUGGCUCAUCUCCGAAAUUUGGUGGACCAUUCAUCUACAAGAUUUAUGGUGGAGGGAAGGAAUUAGUCAUAUGAUCAAGUAGGUGGAUGCAUAAAUGUAAUAAUGACAAUAUAAGGUGUAUGUUAUGCAAACAUGACGUAUGAUUGUAAUAGUGGAAAGCAUGACAUUGCAGUAUGAGGUGUAUACAAAUGCAUAUAAAAUCUGAAGAUGCAAGUAGGUGAAGUAAAACACAAGUAGUACAUAUGCAUUGGACAUUGGUAUGAUUGCAAGUGUAUAUGAAUAUGCAUGUAUCUCAAUAUGCAAAUUUAGAGUGGUAUGAAAUGCAUAGAACAAUCCUAUGGUCUCUUUUGGUCUAUUCCAUGCUAGCGUCACGUUCCUACAGGCAACACAAUGCUUUGAUACCAUCUGAAACGACCGCCCCCGUACAAGGGUUCGAUCUCUGUGCUUUAGUGCUAGUCCCUGGAUCGACUCACUAGCACACACAGUUUCAAGAUAUAAUAUCAUAGAACAAAGGUCUCCAUAUUACAACGUAUCAUCCAGAAUUUAAAAGGUACUUACAACUCGCAUAACCUCACGGGUUAGCUGGAAAUAAAACAACUGAUUAGCAGUGGAAAGCAAAAGAUACAAGGGCACAUCAACACCACGGUGAGAGCGUGUUGGAAUGUAAGCCCCUAACCCAAAAGCAGAACGUACAUCUUACUCGUCGUCGGAGCUUCCUGCAUCAUUAAACGAUGCAGCCACUAGGAUCAAUACAUUGAAUGUAUUGGCAAGAUUCACCAGGAGUUAUAACAGAACCUACCAAGUAUAUGCAUAAUGUGGCAAAGUGGGGUUCAGGCUGUUUGCGUGGAAGCAGAACAUAAAUUAUCCUACUACAAAGGAAUGUUAUAAUAAUGUUAACUAUUGGACACGGGGUAGACACACCCAUGCUCCUAUUAACCUAGAGCACACUGAAGUGGAUUCUUCAAGUGCUCCUACCCUGUUCAAACCAUUCAUUUUAUUUAAGAAAUUGGAAUGAGUGAGACUUUCCUGACAGCUCCACAUCUAGUCGCUCAAAUUGUCCGUUGCCAGGGACACGGCUAAGUACUUAGUUUUGACGCUCUCGAGAGUUUGUACACAUUCCCCACAAGAAACCGACGUGUUAAUCCCUUGCUGUCCUCAGGGUAGAGUAGCAACGGUAUCGAUUACGAGAUUUUCAGAGGUGAUUCCCUAAACCACGAGAGAAUCACGCUCCCCCUACACGGCUACCUCAGUACAAUUCCUCGGGUCUAGGUUCAUACAACUUACUCCACGGGAGAGACGUCCAUGGACGAUCCAUUCCUGAAUCCACAGGAACUCGACUCAGAGGGACCCAUAGAAAUGGACCUGACGCCGCUAAUCCUCAAAAUCUUCAAAGCAGCCCACCCAGGACGGUUCAUUGAAUUAAUUGUUUUGUCUUACAUCUAACAAAACAUUUCAAAUCGCCAAAGGCAUAACAAUAUCAUAAUGUAGUUAUUUCCCCCACGAUACUACCAUAGCCUAGCAUUCAACUACAAUCGAUGGCAAUUUUGGUAGCAAGGUAAUGGCGAGGGUAAACUAGACUACCUGGGAUUUAUAGCUAGCAUAGAAGUACGAGUAAUAUUCCUGAUGCAACUAAUAAAACAUCUAGUGCAUAGUAAAAAUAUUUAGGAGAAUGAUCAAAGUGAACUUGCCUUGUCCAAGGUUGUAGUAGUUCUCGCACUCUUCGCAACAACAAUGAUUAUACUCCACACAAUCUAAAAUAACAGAAACAUACACCCAAUAAACACAACAUUCAAUACAAAAGCCAUGCCAUGAUGCAUAUGCCAUGAUGAUGCACGCAAAGGUUACUUCUAACGUACAAAGUUUCGUUUCUGUUUUGAAAAGUUUUUCAAAAGUUUUGGACAGAUUAUACCACAUCAAGUGGUAAUUAAUAUGCAUGAUUCAUGAAUAAGGUUUGAAACAAACGAUUGUCCGGCUUAUGCAACAUAGAGCAAUAUUUAACUUGUAUGGCAUGAUUAUACACAAAUUAAUUUCUUUUCUGGUCCUAAUGGACAAAGAACAAGUUUAAAUAAUUUUACAGCAAGAUAACAUGCUCAAAACUAUUUUGAAACAAUUCAUUUGGAAUUUAAACCAUAUUCAACCAUUCUGUAAAUAGCCUCUGUCUAAGUUGUUCAAAACUGAAUUUAAACAGUGCCAAAAUAUUCUACAAGUUGUGACGAUUCCAGAAAGGUGCGGAACACAAAAAUUGGACAAACGGUUUGAAAGAUAUGAGGCUUUGAAGUUACAGGGGCCUUUUUGCAAAAGUGCAUUAUCUAAUUCAGCCGAAAAAGAAUAAAAUAAAAUAAAUAAAUAAAACUCUCGCCACGUGGCGGAAUUUGAUUGGCCCGGGGCUAGGGUUUUGGCCGGCAAGGCUCUCUCGCCGGAAGGCGGCGGCGCGGGGCGGGUCACGCGGGCGGCUAGUGGCCUGGGGCGGCUCGACGGCGCGGGGCGCGGAGCGCGCGGGCAGGCGGGCGGAGCGUGGCGGCAGGCGGUUCGGUGCGGCACAGGCGGCCGGAGGCGGGGAAGAAGACGGGCGGAGUGCGGGCGGCGCUCCAAAAGCAAAUCGGACCGUGUCACUACGUGCGCAACGAAGAGGGGAAGAGGCUUAGGGGGUCGGCGCGGGCGGAGACUCACCGGAACGGCAGCGAGACGCGGAAAACGGCGGCGGCAGAGAGUAACUCCGGUGAGAAAUUAAUCUCAAACCGAAGCGAAAUUGGGCGAGCGGUUUGGGGGAAGUGGAGGAGAAAAGCGAGGGCUUCGGGGUGACGCACAAGGAUUUGGAGGAAACGGCCCGUGCGCGGAGAAAUCGGAGGUGGAGUCGUGGGCAGUUCGCGGGGCGUGCGUGGCCCGAUUUCUCGGACGGAGGUUGAAGAAGACGCGGGGCCCACCGGUCAGUGAGAGGGACCAGGCGGUUCGGGCUGGGCCGGUCCGGUUCGAUCCGGUUCGGUCCGGUUUGACCGGUUUUCUUCGGUUUUUCCUUUUCCUUUAUUUAUUUUCUGUUUUUGAACCUCAAAAUUGACUCGAAACUCCAAAUCACUCCAAAUAAAAUGCAACAAAAUUUGUAAAAUCAUAUUUUCAUAUGAUCUAACUUUUGGAACAAGAAUUUCUUCAAAAUAAAAUAUUCAAAAAUACAUUUGCCAAUAAAAUGGCUUUUAGGGCCCUUAGGCUAUCAAAACAAAUUAUUUUUUCAAAAUUUCAAAAGCCAAAUUAUGGCAUAGCUCUAUAUAUGCAUUAAAUCCAUUUUUACCACAAUACCCUCAUGGGUUAAAAAUGCAAAUACUCAAGAGCAAGAUUAAAGCCCAAAAUCAAAUAAAGACAUCUUUGCAAAAGGGUUUUCUAGGCAAAUUUUAGGGUUUUGAAAGUGAUCAAAUGCAAGGAUGACAUGAUGCUUAUGAUAUGCAAUGCAUAUGAAGAGUUUUGAAAAUUGGGAUGUUACAGCUGGGGGCUGCGGCUACUAGUUGCCGCCGUCUUCGGCCGGGAGGUAGGUGGGGCGAUCGUGCUCCGGCUUCAUCUGCAUCCGCUCGACCACCUCGUCAACGAACGCGCGCACUACUUGGGUGUGCGUGGGCUCGUCCUCGUUGUCGGACCGAGCGUCCAGCAGGGACUCGAAGGGAAACUCCGGGUCCCGAAGAUGAAUCCGCGGGAGGAUUGUCCCGGCAACCUCCCGAGCGCAGUUGGUGACUUCGUUGGCGCCGUACCGGGCGCCCCAAGCUUUCCCACCAGAUCAGAGAAGAAGGGGAUCAGCGUCGUGACAUCUUUCCCGUCCACUACCGCUGCCUGAAGCUCGAACUUGGGCAGCAGGUCAGCGCUUGGGCGAUCUUCAGCAGCUUCUCCGUCUCGAUCUGCCGCUGCCUGAUCAGCGUGCCGUGAUGGAGUCGAGCGUCGUGCGCGGCCUUUUUAGCCUUGCGGACGUUGCCUUCCAUCGUCGCGAGCUCCGCGGUCUUCACCGCGAUCUCGUUGCCGGCCUUGGCAACCUCCUCCCGGACGGCGGCUAGCUCGGUCUAAAGCCUGGCCGCUCUGUCCUUGGCAGAGCCGAGCUCGGUCUCGUGCCGAGCCGCCGCUCCCACCACAUCUUCGGUGGCCUUGACUUGCACCUCCAGCAUGACGAGAAGGCCUUGGAUUUCGCCGCGAUAGUUGGCGAUCAGGACACUGUUCUCGUCCAGCCGGGUCUGGGCCGCCGCGACCACCUCGGCAUGUUCUUUCUUCGUCGCCUCGAGGGUGGCUGCCAUUGAGUCCAGCUUCCCUUGAAGCUCCGUGCGCUGGGCCUCCAGCUGCCGGUGGAGCUUGGCCUCCAGGACCGCCGGCUCCCAGGCGUCCUCCAGGGCUUGCUGGGCCAGCCGCGCCUCCUCCUCAGCGAGGCGCGUCUCCUCACGCAGCCGGGACAGUUCUCGCCGCUCUCUCUCCACGGCCUCCCGCACCUCGCCAAGUUGGUUCUUGGCGGCAGCGUGAUGCUCCCUCACCUCGUUGAAGGAGGUGACGAAGGCCUGUCGCUGGUCCCUAACGGCGUCCAAAACCGUCGCCCCCGCUCGAAGAUGCUCGGAUCCUAGGUGAGGGGGUUCCAAGCGACCCCGACGAGGGUGCCGAGGUCGGUAUCGGGGAGAGCAGCCGAGGACGAUGAAGCCCCGCUGCCGAUGUGGGGCUGUGCGCGGGGGUCUUGCUGUCCUUCCCCGGCAACCUCCCCUGCACCUGCGCCUAGGGACCCCGGGGUUGGGGAAGCCUCCUUGCUCCCGGCGGGGGCUGUCCCCUGUCGGGCGGCAGGUGAGCCCGCGCCAGUCGCGGCCGCAGCUGCGGGCCCGUCACUAGGCGCCGUCACAGCGGCGGCGGUGCCCACCGCUGCCCCUGUCUCUGUCGCGGAGGGGCUUGACGUGAGAGCCGGUUCUGGCUACACCUCCGCCCCCACGACCUCAACGACCGGGUGAAGAUCGACCACGGUCACGCCCGUUCCAGGUGUGGACACACUUGUGCCUGCGACGAUGAGAAGCAUGAGGAUUGGCGAGUAAUGGGGCUGUCAAAAACGGACAAAGGUGACCAGGAUGGUUACCUUGCGCGGCUGUCGGGCUUGCGGGGGGAGCCUCUCCGGCCUCGCCUGCGCCGGCGGGAGCGUCCAAGAGGAUUGCCGUGGGCGACCUGCCGCUCACUGCGAAAAGAGGUAAGUUCAUGAGUUUGGCUAACAAAAAUUGCAGCUGCGGAGAAGUAACGAAGACAUACCGGUUGCCGGCCCUGCCUCUGCGGCGGUGGGGUCCGCGGCGCCGCUAGCAUCGGCGCGCCCCUCUUGCUUGGCGUGCCGGGCGGGGAAUCGCUCCUCGCCCACUUGCUGGCACCCGCCGGCGAGUUGGACUUCGGGGGUUUACGCCGGAGCGCGAAGCCCCAGAAGACCCCCCGGGCAGGUGGCGCCGUAGGCGCCCGUGGGGUUGUCGUGGCCCGGAGAGCCCCGGGUGUCGACGGUGAUGCCGCCGCGGUGCCGGGAGCUGAACUUGCGGAGGCUCCCGCUGCCGGGGUGAAGGCCGUUGCCGAGACUCCGGCGACCCCUGCGGACGCGCGCGCGGCCGGAGUACUGGCGGGCGCCCCGGGACUGGCGGCCGCCACGGUGCUGGCGGCGGCCGCUGAGGCGGGGGCCGCCGCCGAGGCCCCCGCGGCCCCUGUGGCCGCGGAUGCCGCCAAGGUGCCGACGAGCGCCCCUGAAGCGGCCGCCCCCGCAAGGUUGGUGGCCGCUGCCAGGGCGGACGUCGCCGUCGAGGAGAGGGCUGUGGCCGCUGCAAACGCCCUCGAUCUCCUCACGAUCAGGGGCGUGCUGUCGCUGCUUUCAUCGUCGUCGUCCACGGCGACGACCUCCGGGAACGCAGCCGCCUGGCCCGCCUCGUCGUCCAGCGACUGGAGGGAGGGCCAAGUGGGCUCAGAUCCGCCCCCGCUCUCCUCGACACCUGCUUCUCGCAGGGUGCUUGCGGGGGAGCGUGCGGGACCCGGGUGGGGCUGUCGUCCAUCAACCCCCACUCGUUGCAGGGCGGGAAGGCGCCGACGAUGUCGCUGAGCGCCUUCACGCCAGCGUGAAGGGAGGAAACCCCCGGCGGGAACUCCGUUGAUUGGAAAGUCUCGCCGGAGAUCGCCCUCACCCACGUCCUGAGGGUCUCCCGGGACCCGUGUACAUCCACGCGGGCCGGGAGCGUAGCUGCAGCGGGGCUAUGCGUCGAUGGACGAAGGUGCGUGCCACGUCUACGUCGGUAAGCCCCGCUUGCCGCAGCGCCUUGAUCUUCUUCACGAUGGGGAGGAGGUCGGCGUCGUGGUAGUACCUGUCCUGCCAGCCGUUCUAGGGCUGCGGCAGCUCCGUCGGCGACUGGAUGAACUCCUGGGGGUCCUCCACUCGGACCCAACACCAAUCGCUCCGCCACUCCUUUUCGAUUUUCUUCCCCAACCGGACGAUGAAUUCGGACUUCAUCUGGUCGCGGGCGCGGAAUACCACCCCCAACGACAUUGCCUUCGCGUUGUCAAUGCGGGGGUAGAAGUAGUGGCGGAAGAGCCCCACCGACGGCAUCACCCCCACGAAUGCCUCGCAGAGGAACUGGAAGGUGGCGAGGAGGAACAGCGACGUGGGGUGGAGCUGCGCCACCCGCAGCUGGUAAGACUCCAUCAGUGCGUGGAGGAAUAGUGAGAAGGGUGGCACUAGGCCGCAGAGGAGGAAGCGCGCGAACACCCAGAAGUUGUUGUCCUGGUGCUCGACGCCCGCCGGGAAGAUCAGCGUCCCCCCGUGCUUGUUGAAGUUGGAGGCGACGGCGUGCCAGAGUUUCCCCAGCGCCUCGUCGUUGUAGCCGGGGCGGAAGAAGGCGACCGCGGCCCGCAUCUCCCGCCUCUUCUGGUCCUUUGCGGCAGCCGCCUUUGUUGCUACCUCGCUCUUGCUGGCCACGGCUUUCUUUGAGACCCGGACCUCCUUCCCCUUUCUGGUGGUGGGGGUGCCAUGGAAAGCGAGGGCGAAAGAUAGUAGGAGUGCAGGGAUGCGAGAUGCGGAAGGGGAUGAAGACGAAGGCUAUGGGGGCAGAGUGUUCUUCCCCUUUUGGCAACAGUAAUAGCUUUAUAACGCCCGGCCGUUUGAUAACGGCCGGUUCCGUACCCUACGGGUGCACGGGGAUAACUCCUAAUCAUUAGGACAAUGCACGGAGUGGUCUUAACUUCCCUAUUUAGGGGGGGAGUUAGAGCGGAAAUCACGCGCCCACUGCUCCGUUUGUAACGGCGCCGUACACGGGGCAGCGAAGGGACGCGGGCCCGUGUCGUCGCACGGUGCUCCGACACCGGGGGCGUGCGGUCACGGCCCCCUUUUAGGUUCGGUAGGGGCGUUGGGGUUUGCCCCGGCGAUCGCCAGCACGGCCGAUGAGGCCUUGCGGAGUCGGCGAAAUGAAGUACUAAAAGUGCGUGCUAAUCAAAGAAUACACGCACGUUUUUACCCAGGUUCUGAUAGCCUCGAGGGUGUCCCGAUCUUUCGAUGAGAUACCUAAUUAUCGAUUUGGUAGGAGGUGACGUUGACGAUCCGACUACAACCUAGGAGGCAGCGCCUUAGCGAUCGAUACACCAACUCCAGAAGGUUAUUGAUCCCACGGGGGCACGAUCAACCUGACCACGAAGGUCUUUGUUCCUGCAAGCAAUCGAAGAACAUGCAAGAACAAGAUGAAAAGCAAUCUGAAAUUGCGAAUAGGAGAUAUGAAGGUUCACGAAUCUGAAUACUCAAUAUAGUUGGAGUCUUGAUGACGGUAAAACAGGUGGUCUAACCGACACACGCGAUUACACGAAUGUAGCAAAGGCUAAACUUUAUCUAAUCAAACCCAAGGCUCCAUAGGGGGGCUCCUGGGGUAUAAAUAGGAGGGGAACUAGGGGGUUUUCGGCCAGGCCCUUGUGGGAGUCCGAAACGGCCUAGGAAUCCUCCUAAAACACAACGAAAACAUCUAAAAAUUGGCUGGACCCUAUUACAUGGCCUUAGGCCCAAUAAAACAAGGUUAUAACCCUCAUCUUUGGCCCAUAGAUACCCAUUGGACAGGGAAUCCUCCACUUGGCCGAAAUCCCAUUGAUGAAGAGGAUGCGGCCUUCUUCUCAUCUCUUUAUGGCGGUUUCAAUGUUCUGAAAUCAACACUUGAGCUACCUCCCGCCACCUUGCUGCCACCUCCAUGGUUUGCUGUCCAACGCUGAUCCUUGAGGUCCAAGCUAGGUCCUUCAUUCCUAAAACACAUAAAAGAACCCAUCUUAGGCGGCAGCAUAUUCUCAUUAAUAUUAAAUGAAGUACCGACGAACGAAAGUACCUGAUAAUUUAGUUGUCGUGCACGAGCUCUAGUAAUUGGUCCAUGUAUCUCCGGUACUUGAGGUGUAGGUGCGGUAGGGGCUGUGGUUGUAUCAUUACUUGGGAUGUCCUCAUCAGGUUCGGGCCACCUGGAGGUGUAAAACCCUACGUCCUGCUUGUCUGAGCUGGCAUUGGUUUAGAUCAAGUGUUUACAAGUUGCCGGGUAAGUUCCCGGGUACCCUCUUCCUUUGGCUAGAUACUACUUACUAUUCUUUGCUAGUGGUGGUGGCUAACGGUGAGCUGGUCGAACUCAGCCGAACCCUACUGUCUACUAGGAUCAAUGGCAAGUCCAACUGAGCCGAACGAACCUAAACCCAACUUACCUGAACCCCUUGACCGCUGGCGAGGGUCCUCCUUUUAUACUCAAGGGGAUGCCACAGGUGCCACGGUGCAUGGGCUACAAGUGUCGAGCGGGGAGGCAUACAACUCCCCCGGUGAGCUGGUGGCAUGCAUGGAUGCGACCUCCGCCGCUAGGGGUCUAAAGCCCUAGAGUAGGACUGGACAGCCACUGUUCCCUAUCGGACGGGUAACGCCCCGUCGGUCGGCUUAUUUAAUGAGCCGUGCGCCUCACUCCUUGCCUUGGUGGGGCCGCGCAUCCCACGCCCGCCACGCGCCCGCGUGGCGCUGUUGGUCUUGCUACUAGGCCCCACGCUUGAGGCGUGGCAUGCGCCCGGGAACCCCCUGUCCCGGCAAGUCGAUCCCCGGGAAGCGCCCGGGCCCAACGCACCCGGGAACCUCCCCCGGGAAGCAGCUUCCCGGGAGGUGCCCAGGCGGGAAUAUUCCCCGAAGCCCCACUAGCCCCUUCCGGGCUGGUAGCUUGCCAGGCUGCUCACAGACGCUGCCCGGGAUGAAACCUUCCCGGGAACUCGGGAACAGGGCCCACGCGUCGCGCAGCGGUGGUACCCUGGGUGCCCCUGGUGCGACAGCCCGCGGCAAAUCGGGGCCCACACGUCGGUUGAGGGCAUAGCCCGGCAACCAACCAGGGGGAAGACUCUUCCGGGAGUAGAUGAUGCCGGCCCACGCCCGGGGGCUACUGUCGCACCGGUGGCACCCGGGGUACCACCGCUGCGCGACGCGUGGGCCUCGUCCCUGAGUUCCCGGGGAUGUGUCCCAUCCCGGGCAGCGGCUACGAGCGGCCCGGCAAGCUACCCCCGCCAAUGGUCAAAGGGUUGGAAUCUCAGUUGGUUCCGGUAGACGGUUGAGUUCGAUCAGUCCACGGUUAGCCUCUAGCAUUAGCAGAGAAUAGUAAGGAGUACCUAGCUAAAGGGAGAGAGUGCCCGGGAACUUACCCGGCAACCUGUAAACGCUUGAUUCACAACCAAUAUCAGCUCAGACAAGCAGCACGUAGGGUCUUACACCUCCGGGUGGUCCGAACCUAGGUAAAAAACGUGCGUGUAUCUGUUCUUUGGUUAGCGCGCACUUUUAGUACAUCAUUUUGCCGGCCCCGCAGGGCCUCAUCGGCCGAGCCGGCGAUCACCGGGGCGAACCCCGACGCCCCUAUCGAACCUAAAAGGGGGCCGUGACCGCACGCCCCCGGUGUCGGAGCACCGUGCGACGACAAAAUGCCUUUAGGGCUAUAUAACUAUUUAAAUAAAAUAGUUUUUCAACUCCAAAUAAAUAUCCAAAAAUUAAAUGAUAGCUUAAUUAUGCAAUAAAACCCCAUUUAUAGAUAAACCCUAUUGGUUUUAAGAUCCAAAGCUCAAAUGGGUGAAACCCUAGGGUUUAAAAUGAAAUAAAAACCUUUUUAAAGCCUUUUGAGAUUCAAAUUUGAAUUCAAAUAUGCAAUUGUGGCAUGAUGCUCAUGGAUGCAAUGCAUAUGAAAGGUUUUAGAAUUUUGGGAUGUUACAACCAUAGUUCGGGCGUUCCAUUUGGCAUAUCGCAUACACACUGGUGUUGUGUUUGGAGAUUUGUUGGUACUUUGCAUACAUAUAGGAUUGCGGCACUAGUCUGGAGUGGUCAUUCUGUGGACACUGAACCACUACCAGCUGUGCUCGCAACUCUUGAGUCCGUACGACGCUUCGGUCGGGCUCUCGUUUCAGAUUAGACUCAGUUGGGUGGUCCCCUGGAUUAGUUGUGGGGCUUGGAAACAUCGUGUCGCCCAAUCCUGCCGACACACGUCUUUGUGUGUUCCUACUUGAGUGGCAAUAAGGGUUGGACGAACGUGUACGGGUAUAUUGGCACACCCUGCAGGGAUAAAUCUUUCUAAAAGCCGUGUCCGCGGUUAUGGACGACUUGGUUGGUCAUUACUUGAUCAUAGAGAACUUAACCAACUUAAUCUCAAAAACUUGAGUAGUAAUUAGCCUUAAUCAUGGAUAUGCUUAAACUGCUUAAAGUGUGAGUGUCCUUUGGAUUGCUUCCUCACAGGGUGUUGAGGGGUGAUAUGAGGAUUGUGUUGUUUGGUGUUUAGUAAAUAGGUUAAUCACCUCACACUUCUCAUCCUCUACUUAGACGUUGUUAUUAGAGUGUCUCUCUAGAUUUUGUUGCUGCUGCAUAAACCCCACCAUAUCCCUCCUUUGAGACUUGUUGCAUAUUUAGUUUAGUUCUCCCCGUAAGUCUUGCGAGUACUUUGUACUCAGUUGCUUUGCAACGUUGUUUUCUUCAGAGGUUCCAACAGAGCAGGUGAGCCGCUAGCUUCUUCGGGGAGCAUGACGUUAGAUUCGAUGUUUUGCCAGGAGAUCCAGAUCAGGGUUCUGAGACUCGUGGCGGGUUUCCUUCCAGCUUCCAGCCUCUUCAGGCCAUGUUGUAUUCUUGUCCGUACUCGAGCAUAAUUCGACUUCCGCUGAUGUAAUGAUGUAAUGUUGGGACAUGUGUCCUCUCUUUGUAAUAAUUGUUAUUCUGCUCCUUGUAUGAGCUUUGUAAUUACUCUCUUCUAUAGAGUUUUGGUAAUGAUAUUCAUGUUGCAAAAUCCUGCGAUGAGCACAUUAAUGCAUGUAUGUAUUGAGGUGUUUAUCGUAGGUUAAAAACCUGAGGCUUGAAUUAUGCAAAGGUUAGCAAUCUGGGGCUAAAUUGUAUAAUUCCGGUCCCGGGGUCUUACAGACGUGAACCUCACUGCAAUGCUGCCGACAACAAUGAGGGACAAGACAACAAUGCCGCCACUAUGCAACAACUGUUAGCAGCCCAGACUCAGAUCCAACAAGCACUCACCCAGAAGAUGAACAACAAUCAGAACAACAACAACAACAACAACAACCAGCACCACAACCCGUUUUCUGAGGUUGCGCUCACCUACCUUCACCAACUCUUCUGAACCAAUAGUGGCUGAUGAUUGGCUCCGCUCUGUGAGCAAGUGGCUAGUAACUGUGGGCUGCACUGAGACAGAAAAAGUGAGGUGUGCCGCGCACUUACUCGAAGGACCGCCGCAGCUUGGUGGGAGACUUAUGAAAUCACCACCCCCAUGGAAGAGGUCACAUGGGAGAUGUUUCAGGAUGCUUUCCGCACCGCCCACAUCUCUGCAGGCGCGCUGAGCCUGAAGAAGAGAGAAUUCCACAAGCUGAGGCAAGGGAACCGCAUGGUGUCUGAAUACAUUGAGACAUUCAACAAGCUGUCUCGCUACGCUCCUGAUGACGUCAACACUGACGCCAAGCGUCGUGAGAGGUUUUUGGAUUGAUUGAACGACGAGCUGGCCGUUCAGUUAUCUGUUGUCUACAUACCUACUUACCAGUCUCUGAUGGACAAGGCUAUCAUCCUAGAGAAUAAGCAGAAUCAGAUGGAGAACCGAGGAAGAGGCCUCACCAUGGAAGUAACCACACUGGUUCACACCAGAAGCCGCGCACCUCUUAUGAGGGUAGUGGCAACUCAUCAAUGGUAAAGCAUGGGAACCACAACCAGAAUCACCAGGGAGGAAGUAGACAUCACCAACGCCAUGGAGGACAAGGACACAACCACCAGGAAAACAAUGGCAACAGGCACCACCAGCAUCACCAGCACCAACACUCACGUCAGAGGAACAACAAUGGGAAUGGCAAUGGCCGAAGCAAUGGAGGCAACCCAGGACAGAACCGCAACGCCAACAAGGACCUGAGCCAGGUGGAAUGUUUCAAGUGUCACAAGAUGGGACACUACUCCAAUGAAUGCCCAGAAAGGUUCGAAGGGAGUGGUGUUAAACCCAACUCGUUCCAGAAGGGCAACGUGAACUACAUCGGCAUGGAGGAGAUCACUGAGGAGAAAGGUAUCGUAAUCGGCACCUUUCACGUUAAUUCAUUUAAAGCACUCGUACUGUUUGAUACUGGUGCAUCGCAUUCUUUCAUAUCAAAGAGAUUCAUGGAUAGGAAUGAAUUACCGACUAGUACACUAGCGAACCCCAUGAAGGUGAAGUCACCAGGGGGAGAAAUGUUGGUUCUUUAUGAAUGUUGACUACUGACACUAGGAAUUGGAAAACACGGGUUCCCCACAAACCUGAUAGUGUUAGGAUCGAAGGGCUUGGAUGUAAUCCUAGGAAUGGAUUGGUUAGCCAAGUAUGAAGAACUCAUAGAUUGUGUCAGGAGGACAAUUACAAUCACAACCCCAGAAAAGAAGCGAAUCCGCUUCAAGUCAACCUAUGAACUUAAGAAACCCAAGGUAAAUUCUCUUAAGGGGGUUAGUCUAGAGGAUGUGCUGAUAGUGAAAGAAUCUCCGGAUGUGUUUCCAGAGGAAUUACCAGGCAUGCCACCUGACCGUGAUGUGGAAUUCCUUAUCGAGUUACUGCCUGGAAGUGGACCUAUAGCCAAGAGACCGUAUAAGAUGGCUGUGGACGAGUUAAAAGAAUUGAAGAAGCAACUCACAGAAAAGUUGUGUAAAGGCUUUAUUCGCCCUAGUUCAUCACCCUAGGGAGCACCUGUUGAUAUGGACAUGCUAACCAUGGAUAUGACCACUAGAACCCUAAUUGUUGGUGUCUCUAAUAAUUAUAAUCAGGUGAAUUCAAUUACAAAAUGUUUUCAAUAUGUUACUUGCAAAGAGGCGGAGCUACUAUCUUGUGUAAUCUUAUUAUGUAGGCAUCUUAUUGAACUUUACAAGUCCAAAGUGAAGAUGAAGUGUUAUAGCCUGCAAAGGGAGAUUCAAAGUGAAGCCUAUCAAGUGUACUUUCCAACAAAUCAAACGGCACAUGGUUCGGAGCUUGCUAGAGAAAGAUAUCACGAAUUAAAGUUGAAUCCGAUUCGGGUCCGAGCUGUCAGGAGACCCGAAUUUGUUUUAAUCACCCAGGCCGCAUCCGGAGUCCAAAUCAAGCAAACAAGUACUUGUUGGAAAGGUAAUUACAAGACCUUUCCAACGGAUCUGGCCCCAUCAAGAGAUUCGACUCGUGCUGACCGUGGCGGACAAAACAAGCUGACGGAUCUGUUUUUCUGUUUCCUAAAGAGUUGUAGUUUGUUAGGAAAGUUAGAGAUAGAGUUGGAUUUCGGACUCCUUAUUCAAGGUGGACGAAAAUAUCUCUCCCUCCUCCUUUAUAUACCCCAUGAGCCCCCCUAAGGAGCCUUGGGUUUUGUUUAGUUAAAAGUUAGCCAUUGCUACUACUUCGUGUAAUCGCGUGUGUCGGUUAGACCACCUGUUUUACCGCUUUCGGAACCCCAACUUAUCGUCUCGUUGAGACAUUGGUUUGAUAUAGUAUAUUCGCAAUUUUAGAUUGCAUCCGCUAUUUAUCUUGUUCUUGCUUGUUCUUCGAUUGUUUGCAGGAACAAAGACCUUCGUGGUCAGGUUGAUCGUGCCCCCGCGUGAUCAAUAACCCUCUGGAGUUGGUGUAUCGAUCGCUAAGGCGCUGCCUCCUAGGCCGUAGUCGGAUCGUCAACGUCACCUCCUACCCAAAUCGAGAGUUACCAAUCUCAUCGAAAGAUCGGGCCACCCGCACCCGUAUCACGUGGUAUCAGAGCCAGGUUGCUCGGUGAGAUUUUUCCAGUUUAUCCCUAGUUUAGAUCUGUUUUACCUAUCGUCCAGAAAAAGCCAAACAAAAAUUAGAAUUAGUUACCUUGUCCUAGAACCAAUCUGAGCCUUGCAAUUUUCACUUUAGUAUUUGCAUUGUUGAAUCUUUGCUGCAUUAAUCGUGUCGAGUUGCUGGAUUUGAUUGGAUCGUUUUUCAGAUUUUUUCUACUAGAUCGAACUUGCUUUUGGUUUUCUUGUUCUUCGUGUGACGCAGGUUUCCUUCAUCAAUCUUCCGCCGCCAAACUUCCUGCCACACCACCCCCAUAAUCUCCCGCCGCCACCAUAUCUUACACCGAGUCUCUCAUCGAGUCCUACACCGAGUCCCUCUUGGAGUCCUACACCGAGUCCCUCAUCGAGUCCUACACCGAGUCCCUCUUGGAGUCCUACACCGAGUCCCUCAUCGAGUCCUACACCGAGUCCCUCAUCGAGUCCUACACCCAGUCCCUCUUCGAGUCCUACACCGAGUCCCUCGUCGAGUCCUACACCGUGUCCUACAUCGAGUUCUACAUUGAGUCGGCAAGUUAUAGUUUUCAGCCGCAAGUUCGAGUCCGAGUCUAAUCAAGAGUGCUUUUGGAAAGUUUUCAUAAUAGAUCGAAUUUUGUUUAGAGAUCAAGUUGUUCGGAAAGUUGUCAAAAAAAAAAGGAAAGAAAAAAAAAACGAAAAAAAAAAAGAGAAAGAGUUCGAGUCAGUUUCGGACCCGAGUCCGAGUAGAAUUUUAGUUUCGGGUGGGUUUGACCCGUGUUCAGUAAAACGGGCGUAUCUUUUGCGUAUCAACUCGGAUUUGGACGUUCUCAGACUUUUUGGAAAGCUCACGACGAGGCGCAUCAGGAAAUAUCCAUGGCUUUGCCCUGCACUUUGACCCUCAAAUUCGGUUUGUAAGGUGGACUUUCGGAGCUUCCAAGUUUCUGCAUCCGUUUUCCGGCGUCGCUGCAGCCCGGUGUUUCUCAGUUUCCUCCACCGUCCGACAUCCGUUUUCAGUGAUCUUGCCCUUGCUAGAAAUCUUGUGUCGAUACGCUUCUAACCCAUAUUUUUCCAUAUUUUUCUGAAAUUUUCUUACUACAGUCUUUGCUGUUCUUCGACAGACCGACGUACAUUUUUCCGGUCCUUCUUUUGCGUGAGUUUCUGGGGUUAAAAAAAAAAGAAAAAAAAAAGAAGAAGAAAAGAAUAAGAAGCCAAACAGAAGGCCACAAAAAGAAAAAAAAAGAAAAAAAAAUCCCAGGGAUUUACUUGUUGUGCCAUCUUUUGAUCUAUCUAUUCCUACCUUCUGCAGUAUCUAGGCUUAGAUUAUUUCUGUAAUUCGUUCUUAUCGACUCCAGCAGCUAGGACUAGCAUUAUUGAGCAUAUUUUCAACUUUGCAUUGCUGAUUUGAUUAUUUGCUAUUCCUUGCUACUCACAAAAGCCUCCAAGCUCCACAGAUUCUACACCUAGGUUGGUUUGUUACCGAGGCAUCGAUACAUUUAAUCUUCGGAGGGCUUGGUCACGCCGCUGGCCAUCACCUUCCUGUUUUGCAUGGUAAGAACUUGAUUUUUAGCUUGAGAGUUGUGCGACUUGUAGCCACAUCCUAGUAGUUGAUACGAACAUAUUACUGUGAUUUGUUUCUUGUUUUCUACUAACCAUGACAGGACUUACACGAAGCAUGGCAACUAGACCGAUGCUAUCCCGUGACCGUGAUGAGUGCUUUUCACCACGGCCAUCCUCCACGUCUCUUGUUGAUAAUGCCACGGCAACGGUACAAAACAAUCCUUCUAAUACAAUUAAAUUGUGUGUACCUUUCUUUGAGGGGGAAAAUGAUGCUGAAACGUAUAUAGAUUGGGAGCUAGCUUUAACUGCACAAUUCACAUGCUUCCAUGUACUUGAUAGUCGCAAGGUUCAAAUUGCUAGUAGUAAAUUUACAUUUGCUGCUUUAUCUUGGUGGAAUGAGAUAGUUAGAGAAAAGAAAAUUCCCCACACUUGGGUUGAUAUGAAGAAAAUCAUGAGAAUAAUAUGUCCCUUUUAGUUAUGCUUUUAACUUGCGUUCAAAAUUAUGACGUUUGGCACAAGAUGAUAAAACUGUUGAUGAUUACUACAAUGAGUUCCAAAUUAUAACCUUGCGAUCUGGUUUAGAUGAAACCGAACAAAGAAAAAUGGAUAGGUUUUAUUGUGGGCUUAACUUUGAUAUUUCUUACAUGAUUGAAUAUGGAAAAUACGACUCUCUUUUGUGUUUGCUUAAUCUUGCUCGUAAAGUUGAGAGGAAAUUACAGCGAGGGUCUACUACAAAUGAGUCGAGCCCACAAGGUAGUGAUACAGAGGAUUGUGUUGCUGAACUAAAAAGGGCAUGUGAUGAAAUAAAUGUGAUACCUGUUGAAUUUUCUGCACCAUGUGAAAUUAUUGUCGUACAUGGUGAUUCAAGUGCACCUACUGCUGAAAUUAAUUCUUCUAAUGAUUUGAGUGCACAAAUUAAUUUUGAUAUUGAUGAGAACGAAUCAUGUGAGGAAAUAACUAAUGUUUUGGGAGAAGCAAGUGAGAUAGAUAAAUUUGAUUUAGGUUGUGUCGAGUUGAUUAGACAUGGAGUGAUUGAUAAAGAUCCACCUAUUAAUUCUUUGUGUUAUAUUACACUUGAUACACCUAUAUAUUUGUCACAUGCAAUGGAUAAAGUUUCUGAGUUAACAAUUUCAAAAUCUUUUGCUAAUGCCCAUGCAUACACUAUUCAAUUAAUUGGAGAACAUGAUGUCAACAAUAAAGUUUUGGUGCAUCAGAUUUGCAUUGCUUGUGAUAACUUUCUUGAUUUGAGAGAAAAUAAUAUGUUGCAUAUGCUUAACCAUUUUGAUAUGACCUCCAAUAUUGGUGUUGAUUAUUUGCCAAUUAGUUCUUUACACGAUUGUUUGAAUAUUAGUGCUUUGACAUGCUCUAAAUUUCAGCAUCUUGUAAUAACUAAUUUGGGUAACAUUAUUAAUUAUUAUUCUCCAGUGUUGGGAUGGUAUAAUGGUGAGCGGUGCAAACCAAAUACAAGAUAUUGUUUCACUUAUAUAUGCAAAACAUAUUGUCAAUCUUCUUGCUGGAAUGAUAUUCAUGAUGAUUGUGUGACUAAUUAUCUCAUGAGAUUGUGUUAUAAAACAUUAAUUGUGCAACAUGGGAGUGGAGUUAAAAAUAACGAUAUAUACAUAUACCAUGUGCAUACCUUGUCUCUUUUGUUAGCAUAUUUUCAGCAUAAACGACGCCGAGGACGGCUUUCCUUUCAAGAAAGGGAGGAUGAUAUGGACAUGCUAACCAUGGAUACGACCAUUAGAACCCUAAUUGUUGGUGUCUCUAAAGUUAUAAUCAGGUGAAUUCAAUUACAAAAUGUUUUCAAUAUGUUACUUGCAAAGAGGCGGAGCUACUAUCUUGUGUAAUCUUAUUAUGUAGGCAUCUUAUUGAACUUUACAAGUCCAAAGUGAAGAUGAAGUGUUAUAGCCUGCAAAGGGAGAUUCAAAGUGAAGCCUAUCAAGUGUACUUUCCAACAAAUCAAACGGCACAUGAUUCGGAGCUUGCUAGAGAAAGAUAUCACGAAUUAAAGUUGAAUCCGAUUCGGGUCCGAGCUGUCAGGAGACCCGAAUUUGUUUUAAUCACCCAGGCCGCAUCCGGAGUCCAAAUCAAGCAAACAAGUACUUGUUGGAAAGGUAAUUACAAGACCUUUCCAACGGAUCUGGCCCCAUCAAGAGAUUCGACUCGUGCUGACCGUGGCGGACAAAACAAGCUGACGGAUCUGUUUUUCUGUUAGCUAAAGAGUUGUAGUUUGUUAGGAAAGUUAGAGAUAGAGUUGGAUUUCGGACUCCUUAUUCAAGGUGGACGAAAAUAUCUCUCCCUCCUCCUUUAUAUACCCCAUGAGCCCCCUAAGGAGCCUUGGGUUUUGUUUAGUUAAAAGUUAGCCAUUGCUACUACUUCGUGUAAUCGCGUGUGUCGGUUAGACCACCUGUUUUACCGCUUUCGGAACCCCAACUUAUCGUCUCGUUGAGACAUUGGUUUGAUAUAGUAUAUUCGCAAUUUUAGAUUGCAUCCGCUAUUUAUCCGCUAUUUAUACCCCAUGAGCCCCCCUAUGGAGCCUUGGGUUUUGAUUAGAUAAAGUUUAGCCUUUGCUACUUUCGUGUAAUCGCGUGUGUCGGUUAGACCACCUAUUUUACCGUCAUCAAGACUCCAACUAUAUUGAGUAUUCAGAUUCGUGAACCUUCAUAUCUCCUAUUCGCAAUUUCAGAUUGCUUUUCAUCUUGUUCUUGCUUGUUCUUCGAUUGCUUGCAGGAACAAAGACCUUCGUGGUCAGGUUGAUCGUGCCCCCGCGUGAUCAAUAACCCUCUGGAGUUGGUGUAUCGAUUGCUAAGGCGCUGCCUCCUAGGCCGUAGUUGGAUCGUCAACGUCACCUCCUACCCAAAUCGAGAGUUACCAAUCUCAUCGAAAGAUCGGGCCACCCGCACCCGUAUCACCUGUUCUAUUUGUGGAAAAGAAGGACAAGAGCCAACGGAUGUGCAUAGAUUAUCGUUCACUAAAUGAGGUGAUGAUAAAGAAAAAAUACCCCUUACCUAUAAUCAAUGAUCUAUUCGAUCAAUUGAAAGGAGCCUGUGUAUUCUCAAAGAUCGAUCUUCGAUCGGGUUAUUUUCAGUUAAAGAUCCGAGAAGCGGAUAUACCCAAGACAGCCUUUACCACUAGAUAUGGCCUGUAUGAGUAUACGGUGAUGCCUUUUGGAUUGACCAACGCACCGGCAUACUUUAUGAAUAUGAUGAAUAAAGUGUUCAUGGAAUAUUUGGACAAGUUUGUCGUAGUGUUCAUCGACGACAUUUUGAUUUACUCGAAGAGCAAAGAAGAACAUGAAGUACAUUUGCGUCUGAUUAUGGAAAAGCUCAGAGAACACAAGCUUUAUGCCAAAUUCAGCAAGUGUGAAUUUUGGUUGUCCGAAGUAGGUUUCUUGGGACACAUAGUGUCAGGAGACGGAGUUGCUGUUGACCCAGCUAAAGUAGCAGCGGUAACAGAAUGGGAAGCCUCUAAGAACGUCGGUGAUGUUCGCAGUUUCUUAGGACUUGCUGGAUGGAUACUAUAGGAGGUUCAUUGAGAAUUUUUCCAAGAUAGCAAAACCCAUGACUGAACUUUUGAAGAAAGAGAAGAAAUUUGAGUGGUCUGAUAAGUGUGAAGAAAGUUUUCAAGAAUUGAAGAAGAGAUUACUGUCUGCACCCAUCCUUGUUUUACCCAACUUGCUAGAAGAUUUCGAAGUGUACUGUGACGCCUCGCGUCUAAAAUUGGGCUGUGUUUUGAUGCAAGAAGGAAGAGUUGUGGCAUACGCCUCACGACAACUUAAGAGUCACGAAGGAAAUUACCCCACUCAUGAUUUGGAAGUAGCAUCUGUAGUGCACGCACUAAAAACUUGGAGGCACUAUCUCAUGGGAAAGCAUUGUGAAUUAUUCACCGAUCACAAGAGCUUGAAAUAUAUAUUCACGCAGAAGGAAUUGAACUUGAGACCAAGAAGAUGGUUAGAGUUAAUCAAGAAUUAUAAUUUGAAUCUGCAAUACCACCCAGGCAAGGCUAAUGUAGUAGCCGACGCUUUAAGCCGUAAAGGCUAUGUCAAUGGUCUUACAGCUGGAGAGUUACCCUCCGAGUUGUGCGAACAAUUCAAGGACUUCAGAUUGGAGAUAGUCCUGGAAGGUUAUCUGGCUAACUUGGAAGUACAACCCACCUUGUUGGACAGAAUUAGAGAAGCCCAGAAAGGCGACUCCGAAAUUAAGUAGAUAAAGGAUAAUAUGGUUGCCGGAAAGGCGAAAUGAUUCAUUGAGGAUGACCAAGGUACCAUAUGGUUUGAGAAAUGUAUUUGUGUACCACAGGACCCUGAGAUCAGAAAGUUUAAUACUUCAAGAGGCUCACGAUUCACCGUACUCGAUUCACCCUGGGAACACAAAAAAGUACAUGGACUUGAAAGAAAGAUUUUGGUGGACAGGGUUGAAGCGAGAUAUCGCUGAGUCUAUUGCUCUAUGUGAUGUAUGUAACAAAGUCAAGGCUGAACAUCAGAAACCAGCUGGAGUACUACGACCAUUGCCAGUGCCAAACUGGAAAUGGGAUAAAGUAGGCAUGGAUUUCAUCACCGGCUUGCCGAGGACAAGGUCUGGUUAUGAUUCGAUAUGGGUAGUAGUUGACCGUUUGACAAGGGUUGCUCAUUUCAUACCUGUGAAGACCACUUAUACAAGUGCUCAGUUGGCCAAACGCUACAUGCCUAGAAUUGUGUGCCUACAUGUUGAUAUGGACAUGCUAACCAUGGAUACGACCAUUAAAACCCUAAUUGUUGGUGUCUCUAAUAACAAUUAUAAUCAGGUGAAUUCAAUUACAAAAUGUUUUCAAUAUGUUACUUGCAAAGAGGCGGAGCUACUAUCUUUACAAGUCCAAAGUGAAGAUGAAGUGUGAUAGCCUGCAAAGGGAGAUUCAAAGUGAAGCCUAUCAAGUCUACUUUCCAACAAAUCAAACUGCACAUGAUUCGGAGCUUGCUAGAGAAAGAUAUCACGAAUUAAAGUUGAAUCCGAUUCGGGUCCGAGCUGUCAGGAGACCCGAAUUUGUUUUAAUCACCCAGACCGCAUCCAGAGUCCAAAUCAAGCAAACAAGUACUUGUUGGAAAGGUAAUUACAAGUCCUUUCCAACGGAUCUAGCCCCAUCAAGAGAUUCGACUUGUGCUGACUGUGGCGGACAAAACAAGCUGACGGAUCUGUUUUUCUGUUUCUUAAAGAGUUGUAGUUUGUUAGGAAAGUUAGAGAUAGAGUUGGAUUUCGGCCUCCUUACUCAAGGUGGACGAAAAUAUCUCUCCCUCCUCCUUUAUAUACCCCAUGAGCCCCCUAAGGAGCCUUGGGUUUUGAUUAGAUAAAGUUUAGCCAUCUUUGCUACUUUCGUGUAAUCGUGUGUGUCGGUUAGACCACCUGUUUUACCGUCGUCAAGACUCCAACUUAUCGUCUCGUUGAGACAUUGGUUUGAUAUAAUAUACUCACAAUUUUAGAUUGCAUCCGCUAUUUAUCUUGUUCUUGCUUGUUCUUCGAUUGCUUGCAGGAACAAAGACUUUCGUGGUCAGAUUGAUCGUGCCCCCGCGUGAUCAAUAACCCUAUGGAGUUGGUGUAUCGAUUGCUAAGGCGCUGCUUCCUAGGUCGUAGUCGGAUCGUCAACGUCACCUCCUACCCAAAUCGAGAGUUAGCAAUCUCAUCGAAAGAUCGGGCCACCCCGACCCACAUCACGUGGUAUCAGAGCUUAAGGUUGCUCGGUGAGAUUUUUCCAGUUUAUCCGUAGUUUAGAUCAAUUUUUACCUAUCGUCCAGAAAAAGCCAAACAAACAUUAGAAUUAGUUACCUUGUCCUAGAGCCAAUCUGAGCCUUGCAAUUUUCACAUUAGUAUUUGCAUUGUUGAAUCUUUGUUGCAUUAAUCGUGUCGAGUUGCUGGAUUAGAUUGGAUCGUUUUUCAGAUUUUUUCUACUAGAUCGAACUUGUUUUUGGUUUUCUUGUUCUUCGUGUGAGGCAGGUUUCCUUCAUCAAUAUUCCGCCGCCAAACUUCCUGCCACACCACCGCCAUAAUCUCCCGUCGCCACCAUAUCUUCCACCGAGUCCUUCUUCGAGUCCUACACCGUGUCCCUCGUCAAGUCCUACACCGUGUCCCUCUUCGAGUCCUACAUCGAGUCGGCAAGUUAUAGUUUUCAGCCGCGAGUCCGAGUCCGAGUCCAAUCAAGAGUGCUUUUGGAAAAUGUUUCAUAAUAGAUCGAAUUUUCUUUAGAGAUCAAGUUGUUCGGAAAGUUGUGAAAAAAAAGAAAGGAAAGAAAAUAAAAGGAAAGAAAGAAAAAAAAAACGAAAAAAAAGAGAAAGAGUUCGAGUCAGUUUCUCGGACCCGAGUCCGAGUAGAAUUUUAGUUUCGGGUGGGUUUGACCCGUGUUCAGUAAAACGGACAUAUCUUUUGCGUACCAACUCGGAUUUGGACGUUCUUGGACUUUUUGCAAAGCUCACGACAAGGUGCAUCAGGAAAUAUCCAGGAGUUUGCCCUGCACUUUGACCCUCAAAUUCGGUUUAUAAGGUGGACUUUCGGAGCUUCCAAGUUUCUGCAUCCGUUUUUCGGCGUCGCUGCAGCCCGGUGUUUUUCAGUUUUCUCCACCGUCCGACAUCCGUUUUGAGUCAUCUUGCCCUUGCUGGAAAGUUUGUGUCGAUACGCUUCUAACCCAUAUUUUUCCAUAUUUUUCUGAAUUUUCCUUACUGCAGCCUUUGCUGUUCUUCGAUAGACCGACAUAUAAUUUUCCGGUCCUUCUUUUGCGUGAGUUUCUGAGGUUAAAAAAAAGAAAAAAGAAUAAGAAGCCAAACAGAAGGCCACAAAAAGAAAAAGAAAAAAAAUCCCAGGGAUUUACUUGUUGUGCCAUCUUUUGAUCUAUCUAUUUCUACCUUUUUCAGUAUCUAGGCUUAGAUUAUUUCUGUAAUUCGUUUUUUUCGACUCCAGCAGCUAGGACUAGCAUUAUUGAGCAUAUUUUCAACUUCGCAUUGCUGAUUUGAUUAUUUGCUAUUCCUUGCUACUCACAAAAGCCUCCAAGCUCCACAGAUUCUACACCUAGGUUGUUUGUUACUGAGGCAUCGAUACAUUUAAUAUUCGGAGGGCUUGGUCAUCCCGCUGGCCAUCACCUUCCUGUUUUGCAUGGUAAGAACUUGAUUUUUAGCUUGAGAGUUGAGCGACUUGUAGCCAAUAAUUGUUGAUAGGAACAUAUUCCUGUGUUUUGUUUCUUGUCUUAUACCUAACCAUGACAGGACUUACACGAAGGAUGGAAAAUACGCUUAUGCUAUCAAGCGACCGACAUGAGCGUUUUUCACCACAUCCAUCCUCCUCGUCUCUUGUUGACAUUGGCAAGGCAAAGGUAUAUCGCAAUCCUUGUAAUGUCAAUAAUUGUUUUGGACCUUUCUUUGAUGGAAAGAAUGAUGUUGAAGCUUAUAUUGAUUAGGAAAUAGCUCUAAUUGAGCAAUUCACAUGCUUCCAUGUACUAGAUAGUCGUAAGGCCCAAAUUGCUAGUAGUAGAUUUCGUUUUGAUGCAUUAUCAUGGUGGAGUGAGAUAGUUAGAGAAAACAAAAUACCUCACACUUGGAUUUAUAUGAAGAAAAUCAUGAGAGAAAAAUAUUUUCCUCCAAGUUAUGCUUAUGAGUUGCGUUCCAAAUUACGACGUUUGACACAAGAUGAUACACCAACUCCACAGGGUUAUUGAUCACACGGGGGCACAAUCAACCUGACCACGAAGGUCUUUGUUCCUGCAAGCAAUCGAAGAACAAGCAAGAACAAGAUAAAUAGCAGAUGCAAUCUAAAAUUGCGAGUAUACUAUAUCAAACCAAUGUCUCAAUGAGACGAUAAGUUGGAAUCUUGACGACGGUAAAACAGGUGGUAUAACCGACACACGCAAUUACACGAAAGUAGCAAAGAUGGCUAAACUUUAUCUAAUCAAAACCCAAGUCUCCUUAGGGGGGCUCAUGGGGUAUAUAAAGGAGGAGGGAGAGAUAUUUUCGUCCACCUUGAGUAAGGAGGCUGAAAUCCAACUCUAUCUCUAACUUUCCUAACAAACUACAACUCUUUAAGAAACAGAAAAACAGAUCUGUCAGCUUGUUUUGUCCGCCACAGUCAGCACGAGUCGAAUCUCUUGAUGGGGCCAGAUCCGUUGGAAAGGACCUGUAAUUACCUUUCCAACAAGUACUUGUUUGCUUGAUUUUGACUCCGGAUGCGGCGUGGGUGAUUAAAACAAAUUCGGGUCUCCUGACAGCUCGGACCCGAAUCGGAUUCAACUUUAAUUCGUGAUAUCUUUCUCUAGCAAGCUCCGAAUCAUGUGCCGUUUGAUUUGUUGGAAAGUAGACUUGAUACGCUUCACUUUGAAUCUCCCUUUGCAUGCUAUCACACUUCAUCUUCACUUUGGACUUGUAAAGUUCCAUAAGAUGCCUACAUAAUAAGAUUACACAAGAUAGUAGCUCCGCCUCUUUGCAAGUAACAUAUUGAAAACAUUUUGUAAUUGAAUUCACCUGAUUAUAAUUGUUAUUAGAUACACCAACGAUUAUGGUUCUAAUGGUCGUAUCCAUGGUUAGCGUGUCCAUAUCACAAAGCCCCGUGCUACGACAUCUGGCGCGCCAAGCAGGGGGCACAUGAGGAGAGCUCGCCGGUGACCGCCGGUGCCGUCGUCUAUGUCGACAUCAGCCUUGUCUACUCCAACAGCGGAGCCAACCACCAUGCCCCCUAAGCGGGCUAGUGACCCCCGGAUCGAUCCGCGUGAAGCCCCAGCGGCACACACGCGGUCGCAUGACGCGCAGCCCGCUUCACGGGCUCAGGAAAAUCCUGAGCCCUCACGAGCGCAGCAGUCGCCGCUGCCCCCCCCCCCCGCCUCCUCGGCCGUCGGUAGACAACCGGCUGAGGGGGCCGGCGGCUCCCAGUUGUAAGACCCCGGGACCGGAAUUAUAAAAUUUAGGCCCAAAUUGCUAACCUUUGCAUAAUUCAAGCCUCAGGUUCUUAACCUACGAUAAACACCUCAAUACAUACACGCAUUAAUGCGCUCAUCGCAGGAUUUUGCAACAUGAAUAUCAUUACCAAAACUCUACAGAAGAGAGUAAUUACAAAGCUCAUACAAGGUGAUACGGGUGCGGGUGGCCCGAUCUUUCGAUGAGAUUGGUAACUCUCGAUUUGGGUAGGAGGUGACGUUGACGAUCCGACUACGGCCUAGGAGGC